CGUCGCCGGGAUGGCCUACUUCAUCGUCGCAGACAAGACCAUCCUCUCCAUGGCAAGGAAGCACUCCUUCGAGGACGCGCCGGAGCACCUCAGGAACACCUCCUUCCACUAAUUAGCCUAUUGUAGAUCCAUUAGUAUAGUGCGUAAUAAACCGUGUUCUGCUGAAGCCUGAAAGAUGGUAUAAUGUUCAGCGAGAGGGUAUAAUUAUCUGAUGAUGUAUGUAAUAAUGUGGCCAUGUUCUCCAUCUUGUCAUCUUUCCAGGGAUCGUGAAAUAAUAACCAGCUCUUGUACAACUUUGCUUCAAGUCCAGUCACUCAUGACUCAUCUCACUUUUUUCUUGUUUGCGAUUACAGUUUGACACGCGUCAGAUCAUUGCAAAGACCGAGAUAACACUAGACUACUAGUACAUUCUGUCNNNNNNNNNNNNNNNNNNNNNNNNNNNNNNNNNNNNNNNNNNNNNNNNNNNNNNNNNNNNNNNNNNNNNNNNNNNNNNNNNNNNNNNNNNNNNNNNNNNNNNNNNNNNNNNNNNNNNNNNNNNNNNNNNNNNNNNNNNNNNNNNNNNNNNNNNNNNNNNNNNNNNNNNNNNNNNNNNNNNNNNNNNNNNNNNNNNNNNNNNNNNNNNNNNNNNNNNNNNNNNNNNNNNNNNNNNNNNNNNNNNNNNNNNNNNNNNNNNNNNNNNNNNNNNNNNNNNNNNNNNNNNNNNNNNNNNNNNNNNNNNNNNNNNNNNNNNNNNNNNNNNNNNNNNNNNNNNNNNNNNNNNNNNNNNNNNNNNNNNNNNNNNNNNNNNNNNNNNNNNNNNNNNNNNNNNNNNNNNNNNNNNNNNNNNNNNNNNNNNNNNNNNNNNNNNNNNNNNNNNNNNNNNUAUCCUCUGUUCUGUCGCCAAAGGCCAGCUGACCUCACACUCUAAAUCUUUUGAGACAAUUUAUUGGAUGCCUUGACAAAUAAGGAUGGAAAAUUUAGCAGUUUUGAAACUAGCUUUCUGUACUAGUGGAGCCCUCCUGGUUAGGUUGGAGGUGUUUCUCGAGACCGGAGACACCUCGACAUUUUUCUCGGUCGCGAGUUAAUAUACAUUCAUAUCACAUCCGCGUGUAAGAAUGCAUGUGAGAUAUUCCAAAGAAUGAAAACAUAUGUAGAAUAUACAAAAGUUCCUCUUGUUGGGCAGGAUUUAAGACUGUAAACCUAUGUGUGUCGAAUUUGUUACGCAAGAGCUCCUACAGCCAGAGCUCCCAUAUCCAUCCUAAACUUCUCAAAUUGCUUAACUAGAUCCCUCCGAGUUACUAUGGUAGCGUCUAUAGGCAAUUGAUAGUAAAAUAUGUCACUAAUUGUCUAGCUACCAUCGGGCAGACGAUCAGUGUGACACCUAUGCCGUAUCUUCAACAACAUCAUUAAGUGCUGGGUGACACCAACCUAUGCAAAGUAGCAUAGCAUGGCACUACCAGGAAAAACCUUAUACACAGAAACUUAUCAGUAGUGCGGUCUAUGAGGGGCGCUACUGCUAAUUAAUAGUAGCGAGGGGUAUAAAACCCGCGCUGCUACUAAGUGGUCUCCACCAUAUCCCCAGGAUAGGCUAUAGUAGUAGCGAGUGGUAUAAAACCUGCGCUACUACUAAGUAAGUAGCUAUAGCGCAGGUAAGACCCCACACUAUUACUAAGCGUGUCCACUACUGCACCAUCCACUCCGGCAUGAUCCACUCCCACCCCAUCACACUCUCUCUAUCUCAUCCCUAAAAAAACUCUCUCAUGAACUCACUUGUUCCUUGGUCCACCCCACCCGGCUUCUCUCCCCACGAUCUCCUCGCCGCCGCCACCACCCAUGCCGGCCGGUACCGGCGAGCACCGGCCGCGCGCAACACUCCGCCAAGCUCCGCCCCUCCCUCCCCUCCGUCCAAAUCCGUUCCUCAAGGCCUGCACACUUGCCCCAAGCUAGGGUUUCAGGCGCCUCCCGUGUUCUUGCCUGAAUCCACCACAAUUGGCGAUGGCGAGGCCAGAGCUUGCGGAGACCGCAAUUGUCAGGUCUACCUACCGGAUUCAGUUUUCAGUUUACUUUUUGAGAAUAGUAUAUUUAGUAUCACUAGUACAGACAUGCUCUGCAAGUACUUAUCUCUUGCCGGAUCUUCCUUUUAAGAAGUUCAGGCAUUGUCUGAUCAAUUUUACCGAACUCCUGAACACCAUAGAUUUGUGCGGAAACAGGUGGUGAAUCAGGUUAGUAUUGUGAAUUCAGGCAUUCCACCCCCUCAUAGUAAAUUCAGGGUUAUAUUAACACUGACCCCCUUGCAUAAACACCGGUGCAGCACAGUUGUAUGUACAAGAAGCAGAGCGCAUCAGUUCAUGCUCGAGCCCCGAAGAAGGUAGCAAUGCGCGCGGCUACCAGGGGUGCUCACUAGAACGCGUAGAUGAUUUCUCUUGUCUUGACGGCGAAGUCGACAAAAGACUGAUUGACAUGGUUCCUGUCCCUGUAAGUAGCACUGCUCGCUUUCUACCGAUCCAAGUUCAUAUAUCCAAUAUAUCAGAAUAAUUUGCUAGAAUGGUUGGGACAUAUGCUAAAAUUUAUUCACUGCAUCAAGGGGUUAAGCACAAUAGUUUUGGGUUCUACAGUUUCAAGGGGAUUCAGAGUUCCACCUCUGAGUAUUUGGGUCUUAUCUAACCAUGCUCUGAGAUUUAGAUGUGUUGGGGAAUGGGGAUUGCUAGUUCCUGCUGGGUAAUCAGAAUAAUGUUUGGGUUUUCCUCAAGGAUGGCGGACACUAUUUACAGUAUGUUAAAUGCAGACAAUGUUGUUGAUUUAUGAGAAUUAUUUAUUUACCUAGUGGAUCCUCAAUUUUAUAUUUGUCCCUCUCAAUGCAAAUGUUGAGCCAUGUUCCACUUUUACUGCUCUACAUUAUAUUUUCACUGCCUGAAUGGGUUAGUAUGCUCCUUGUCUUUUUCACUGAUUGUAUUUUUCAUCGACAUACACCGCAUUAUUUUUCGGUGUCAUUCUUCUGAAGAAUCUGAAGUUUCUGAUCCUCUGUUGGUAAUGCUGCAAGGUUCUGGUGGCGAUGCCAAAGGUCGUCGAGAGUUUCGUGGACUGGACGGUGUCGUGGCUGCCGAUGUACGGAGAGACGAAGCUGCUGCUCGUCAUCUACCUCUGGCACCCCAGCGCAUGAGUGAGCAGUCGAUCAGACACCCCGAGCCCGAGAGAUGAUCAACAUUUCAGAUAGACUUGAUUCGGUAUGUGUCCAAUUCUGAAGAUGAAUCUUAAUGGUGUUCGGAUUUCAGGGUGUGGGGCACGUGUACGAUGGCUUCCUCCAUUCGCUGGUAGCAUGGCACGAGGCCGACUUCGACCGGGGCCUACUUGAGCUGAGGGCUAGGGCGAGGGACGUGACGACGUCGCUACUCAAGGCGGCGGCUGUCGUCGGUCAAGUGUGCUCGUUGAGGCUGCCCGUUGUGUUUCGUCGCAGCUGCAGGCCGCGAGAUCAGGCCGGGAAGGCGCCCGCAUUGACGAGUGAGCCAACUUUUGGAUCGGACCAUAACAAAGUGUUUCAGUCUCUGACGUCUAGAAGUAGUGGUAAAGUUUUGAAUUUGCAUGGCACGAACCAUGUAACGCCCCGUAUGUAACCUUACAUAUUUGUAUUCCAACUCUUGCCAUUUCCGGCACUAAGUUAUGAUAUUUCCUCGUUGUUGGGUUUCGUCUUCGUGUUGCUUUUGUCUUUUUCAUGCAUCUCAUAUCAUGUCAUCAUGUGCAUCGCAUUUGCAUACGUGUUCGUCUCAUGCAUCCGAGCAUUUUCCCCGUUGUCCGUUUUGCAUUCCGGCGCUCCUAUGUCCUCCGGUGUCUCAUUUUACCUCUUUUCAUGUGCGGGUGUCAAACGUUCUUGGAUUGGACCGAGACUUGCCAAGCAGCCUUGGUUUACUACUGGUAGACCGCCUGUCAAGUUUCUUGCCAUUUGGACUUCGUUUGAUACUCCAAUGGUUAACCGAGGAACGGUAAAGGCCUCAUGUGUGUUGCAGCCCAACACCUCUCCAAAGUGGCCCAAAACCCACCUAAACCCCCUCCAUCAUCUUGGUCGUUCAAUCACGAUUGCGUGGCCGAAAACCACACCUCAUUUGGAGUCUCCUAUCUCCCUCUACCUAUAAAUAUGUGCCCUUCCCGUCCAUUUCGCGGUCCAAAACCCUAGAUCCAUCCCCGCCACCGCCGGACACGUCCGCCGCUGGCCGGACGCGUCCGCCAACGCCCGCGUCCAAUCAGAAUUCAACAUGUGUCCCCCGCCGGCUCUCUCUCUCCUCCGACCCGCCGGGCCCGUCACGGACCCGCCCGGCCCGGUCGCCGCCGCCGCUCGCCAGAGGCGAGGCCGCCUCGCCGUGUCGCCCAUGUGGCUUCGCCCCGCCGUCCCCGCCACCAAGUCCGGCCGUCUCCCCGCCGGCGAUCGCCGCCGACCAUCGUUGUGCCCGCUUCCGGCGCCGCCUCGCGCGCUAUGCUCCGGCCACCGCUCGACCCACCGCCACCAGUCGCCAUCGCCCCGAGCGCCUCGCCACCACCAUCUCCUCGUCACCGCGCCUCCUACCUCGCCUCCUUCGGUGUCCGGAGUUCGCCGGAAUCUCCCUCCGCCGCCGUCUCCCACGCUUCCGGCCACCUUGCCGUCGCCGGACCCGGCCCGCUCCAGAUCCGGUCCGGGUGGACCAGAUCCUCCAGGCCCGUGAUCCAAACGCCUCCUCUCGUCCCCGCACGUCUCCGUCCCGGAACCCCGAGAUCCAGUUUUCCCGCGAGGUCGUUUUUCUACUAAGUCCCCAGCAUUUUUAGCAUACUUCAUCAUGCCAUAUCUUUGCACCCGUGGCCCCGUUUUGGGCGUGUAGCAUAUCAAAUUGUUCGUCUCGAUGUGGACUUCAUUUCAUUCCAUUGCACCAUGUUCAUUUGAUUUCAUCUUGAUGCCCUAAAUGUUGUUGCAAGAGUGCUAUGUGGUAUUAGUUUCAGAUUCUUAACAGAUAUUGGACAUUUGUCAUUUUUGCCAUGUUUAAUGUGUGCCUCCUAUGAACUUGAGCCCUACAUGUGUUUUGAAGUAUGUCAUGCUAUCUUUACAGGGGUGUAUGCCAUGUGUUUUUGUGAUCAUUGUGGUGACUAGCACAAGCAUGCAAAGUAGCUCUCGUAAUGUUGCUGAUUUCAGGGACUUCGAAUUCUUCCAAGUCUUUUCCCUGAUAAUAUUUUUAUGCCAUGUAUUCUUAUUGCUAGAGAGUGAUCCAUGCCUCUUGAGCAUGUUCAGUAAGGAUUAUUUUGAGAUAUUGUUAUGCUCUAUCCAUCCAUGUCUUUGUUUGCAAUUAUGGAGUUCCCUAGCAUGACUCAAUCUUGCUCUACUUUUGCUAUAAAAUGUUCCUGGCAGAUUGUUUACGUGUUAAUCAAUUUUGCUGAGGUUGUUAUAGUCUAUCCAUGCAUGCUAUGAGAGUGUUCUUGCCAUGGAUAGCUUAUUUAUCAUGUCUACUUGCUGGAUGUAUGCUUAGUUUGUCAUGCAAUGCCUUGUGGUGAGUGCAUCGAGCUCGUAAACAUGCCUACAUAAAUCUGUUUUGCCAUGUUCCAGUUUUCUGCUAAGUCUGAAUCUGUUAACGAAACUUGCUAUGUUCACAUGGUUGCCAUUGUACUUUCUGAUCCCUUUUGGCUUAUGGUCAGUAAGGGACUUUUGUUGAAUGCUUUGAGUACUUCAUGUCAUGCCUUGCUUUGCCAUGUUAUGUUCCUGUAGCAUGUUGUUAUCUUGCUCUAAACAUUGCUUCCUGAUGUUAAACCUGCCAUGUUGUUAUUUUCACUAAGUCUGAGAACCUGAUAUCUUUUGCACUUUUGUCAUGCUUGUUUGAACCUGCUACUGAGUGAACUAGCCGUAGCUCAGUGUUCAUCUUUUGUCAAGCAUCUUGAUUGGAUCACUGCCAUGUACUUUGUUGCUAUGUUAGAGUGCAGUAGUUUGUUGUUCUUGAUGCAUUUAGAUGGCCUCGUGCUGUUAAUCGCAGAUCGGUGUCAUAUUUGUUUUGCUUGUCAUUUGCAAACCGUGGAUCCGUUUCCGGUGAUCUUUAUAUCGAUUUCGACCGAAAUCAACUCAUCUUUCCUGUGAAGCUCUUGGUUUGCCAAGUUGAGGCAUGGUUCAAUCAUUCUCUUCCAAAGCAUGCAUAUGCAUUGAAUAUCACAUCCCGCAUAUCAUGCCAUGUUUUGCAUCAUUUUGCUUGUGCACUGCACCGUGGUUGAUCGUGGUUCCCUUUGCUUGUGUUCUUGCUUUGGGUAGAGCCGGGAGACGAGUACGUGAACGAGGAACCCGUUGAGUAUGCUUACGAAGAUCAAGUUUACGCAAAAGCAGAGAACUUUGCAGGCAAGAUGACCAUACCCUCGAAAUCACUUCUAUCUUUGCUUGCUAGAUGCUCGCUCUAUUGCUAUGCCUAUGCUACGAUACCUACCACUUGCUUAUCAUGCCUCCCAUUUUUCCAUGUCAAACCUCUAACCCACCUUGUCCUAGCAAACCGAUGUUUGGCUAUGUUACCGCUUUGCUCAGCCCCUCUUAUAGCAUUGCUAGUUGCAGGUGAAGAUUGGAGUUUGUUCCUUGUUGGAACAUGUUUAUUGUUGGGAUAUCAUUAUUAUUUUUUACUUCAAUGCAUCUAUAUACUUGGUAAAGGGUGGAAGGCUCGGCCUUAUGCCUGGUGUUUUGUUCCACUCUUGCCGCCCUAGUUUCCGUCAUGCCAGUGUUAUGUUCCUUGAUUUUGCGUUCCUUACACGGUUGGGUUAUAAUGGGAACCCCUUGACAGUUCGCCUUGAAUAAAACUCCUCCAGCAAGGCCCAACCUUGGUUUUACCAUUUGCCACCUAGCCUCUUUUCCCUUGGGUUCCGCGGACUCAAGGGUCAUCUUUAUUUUAAACCCCCGGGCCAGUGCUCCUCUGAGUGUUGGUCCAAACUAGAGCCCUUUGCAGCACCCCCUCGGGGAAACUUGAGGUUUGGUUUUAGUUGUAUGGAGAUCUCAUCUGUUGUGCCCUGAGAACGAGAUAUGUGCAGCUCCUAUCGGGAUUUGUCGGCACAUUCGAGUGGCUUUGCUGGUUUAGUUUUACCAUUGUCGAGAUGUCUUGUAACCUGGAUUCCGAGUCUGAUCGGGCCGUCCUAGGAGAAGGAAUAUCCUUUGUUGACCGUGAGAGCUUGUGAUGGGCUAAGUUGGGACACCCCUCCAGGGAUUUGAACUUUUGAAAGUCGUGCCCGCGGUUAUGGGCAGAUGGGAAUUUGUUAAUGUCCGGUUGUAGAAAACCUGAAACUUAACUUAAUUAAAAUGGUUCAACAGCGUGUGUAGCCAUGAUGGUCUCUUUUCGGCGGAGCCUGGGAAGAGAACACGAUCUCAUGUUAUUCUUGAACGUAAGUAGUCUUGGAUCACUUCUUGAUCAUACGUUCUCGAACGACAAUUGUGUGAUAUAAUGGAAUUGAUUAAGUUUAUUUUUUUUUAAUUUCUAAUAAGUUAGUAGUAGGGUUGGAAAAAACUGCUCGCUAGUAGUAUUUAGGAUACUAGUAGCGUUGGAAUUGUAGACACACUACUACUAUUUCGUUAGUAAUAGUGCGGGUUUAACCCACGCUACUAUUAACUAUUAGUUGUAGUGUGAUACUAGGAGCGUGGGUACCCAUGCUGCUAGUAGCCUUUUUCCUAGUAGUGUGACCACACUAUUCGAAACACAAAAGGGGAAUCACAAAACAACACAAGACAAUGAUUUCUUUACCAAAUGGGAGAAAUGCCACUUUCAACGGGCUCUAGAGGGCAUUGUUCCUCACCGCCAAGAUCCGGGUAAAUGGAGGCCGUGGAAGCAACAAGGCGGUGACAGAUCAGUGGGAGCAUAUCAAGCACUGCAGGUGCGCCCACAGUGGAGAAAGGCACGCACCAGAGGGGCAAAAUGGGAAUUAUGGCCCCAAUGGUGGGUCCCCACAUCAACGGACACUCGAAGAGUCUUGUCAUCAAUACUGGUGGGCCCAUGUUGCAGUGGAAAUGGAAAUUAUGGCGCAAUGUUGGGCUCGCACAUCGCCCAGAAAGGGUCAAUCGAGUCUCCUCGUGGGUGCAAUUGAUGUGGUGAAGUGGUGUGUCCAAAAUGGAAGGAAGCAACGCAAAGUUGAGGACAAGCAAUGGAGAUGACGUGUAGUGUCAUACACCUCUUUGUUUCACAAUCGUUAGUGCCCAGACCCGAAAUAUGGAAGAUUGAGUGGCAGGAUUCGAAUACGCAACUUUGGCAGUGGCACAGACCGAUUGUUCCCCAAAAAAUACUUAUAUAGAAAUCCCCAAAAAAUACUUAUAUUUAGGGAUGGAGGAACCAUUGCCAUUUAUUUGGAGAAGGAUAACCAUUAUCCAAAGAAAAAUGAAACAUGUCAUUUAAUGACAUUAUGGGAUAAGGAUAACCUUGAUGCCACCACAUCUAUAUAAGGCGACUGAACGGUACCCCUCACGACCACAAAAACAUACUGGUUGACAAAUUAUUGCAUAAUUAUAUAUCUUUUGUUGUUCUGUGUUCUUAGGCAUUGGCGGACAAUGGCAUCUUCCAAGUGAUCAUAGUUUUUCUCAUGGCGCAAGCCUGCUUGCUCAUGAUGAUGGCAUCAUCGGUAGCACAUGCAGCUGCUAGACCGGUGGGGUACAAUCCAGUGUGCUGCCCUAGGAACAUCUUUUGUUGCGGGUUCUGUAGCGGAUUGGCCAAUUCACCCGCACCAUCCAUUGUAUCUUGAUGUGUGGCUUUAUUCUCCGCCAACUAGUAAGCUCAACGUAUAAAUGAUAUGUGUGGUUCAUGUGUUACCUAAUCCUAAAUAUUUGUGAUGCUACUUUCAAGAAGUUAUUGUACUAGUUACUUACAUAAUAAAAUGAGAGGAGAUUAUUAUAUAUCUUGUUCGCAAAAUACCGCAAAGAGACUUAAGCUUAUGUUUACUUUAGUCCUUUUGAAAACUAGAUUAUUUUGCCGCAUUGAUUUAAGAGAAAAAAAGAGUGGCCAAGCAUACACGUUGACCCCAUGAGUCUGCAGUGCGUGCCUGUGGGAAUCUCUGUUUUAUCAUUCGGUUGGCCGUACAUUAUGUCAAGAUCGUCCAUGUCAUGGCGACAUGCUCUAUGUUUGCAGAGAAAAUAAUGUUGUAAAGCAUUUAUUGGGUAAUGGAGUAUAUCGUCAAUUAGUAGAAACCAACUACCAUUGGCAGGCUUGUCUACGAAUUAACGUAUGUACACUGUUUCGUUUUGCAUGAAUGCCAACAUCAUAUAUUAAAAUGGUCACAUCCCCGACAGCGGUGGAUCCGACCCAGGAUCGAAGCAAGUGCCAAGGACUUGAUUGCUUUUUAGUUUCGUCCUUUGGGUUCCUAUUUGCAAAGUUUCUCACCUAGGCUGUAAUUUCUACUUUCUGUUGGGUCCUUUUGUAAAAUGUUGCAUGCUUAUCUAAUUUAAGUCUGGGUUCUUCCCGAGUCUAGAAAAAUAUAUACAUUAAAUGGUCCAACCCUUACAAUACCAUCCUUCCAAAACCAGAAAAUAAAACACAUACCCUCGUGUAUAUCAACGACGUCUUUCUCCCGAACUUGCACCCCAUGGGCAAAGCUCGAUAUUGCAUUUGGAUAUCCAAAAUACUCUCAGAGCCAUGGUAAAUCAUUCUCUGCGUGUGCAAAUAUGUGUAAUCUAUCUAUCUAUACUAUACCAAUUAAAGAGUUCUCAGAAACUCCAAUGACUAAUCAGAAAUUACGAAUCGUUCAUUUGGUGGGACCUAGUUUGGCACAUGGUCUGUCCAAGGACCGAAAAAGGGAAGUGAAAUGGACGGAAACUAAAGUGAAGGCAGAGGACCAGUAGACAAAGAGAAGUGAAGGCCCUGUCCUGAUCUACUCACUAAGCUUAGGCGGCUUCAAUAGUAAAUGCAGUUUUUCUUUUCACCAGCCACCUUCAAUAGUUACUGCAAGCGGUUAUGUUGUCCUAACCGCCUCCGGUGUGCAUAUAUACAGGCAACUUCGUUUUAUUUGAUCACAACCGCUUGCGGAGGCCGCUUCUGAUGCCCGCUUUCUGUUAGUAGAUGUUCGUUUCGUGCAUCAACCUUUGAUGAUUGUUUUGUUCAUGGUCGCCUUCGAUGAAGUCGGAGUCGCUUGAUCCAGGGCGAUGGGUGAUGAUGAUGACGCCUCUGUGCAGCCAUGGCGGUUGCUCUUUUCGUUUAUGUGUGAAGUCUAUGUUGGUAGCUAGAUCAGCCGCUGGCAUGUGUAUUAUCAUGUUCCAUGACGAUCGUUUUUGGGCUUGUUGUUAUGGUUUUUGCCCAAUUUCUCUAAAUUAACUAGAGAAUUAUAUUUUUAAUUAAUGAAAAUGAUAAAUCUUUUGUCUCAUUUAAUUUUUUUUCAAAUCAACUAACUACACUAGUAGAAAAAGGGGCUUUGGUCCAGCCAGAAAAGAGCAUUAAUCUCGGUUGCAUUACGAACCGGGACUAAUGUGAGCAUUAGUCCCGGUUCAAGCGGCGAGGGCACCAUACAGGCAUUAAUCCCGGUUCAAAUGGGACAUUUAGUCCCGGUUCGUGGCACGAACCGGUACUAAAGGGUGUGAUGCCCAUUAGUACUGGUUCGUGGCACGAACCGGUACUAAAGGUUAGACCUUUAGUACCGGUUCGUGCCACGAACCGGUACUAAUGGGGUUCAGACCUUUAGUACCGGUUCGUGCCACGAACCGGUACUAAUGGUGCAAUUUUCAAAUCCUACCCCCCCAGUGCAUCGCCUUUUUAGUUUUGUAAAAAGCAAAAGAAAAUGAUAGAAACUUCAAAAUUUAAAAUCCUUCGAGAUGUAGUUAUGUUACUACAUCUACUAGUUAGGAAAAUUUUAAAACUUAUAUUUGGACAUGUUUUGCAAAAAGUGUAGGGAAAAUGUAAAACAGCUAUAACUUUUGCAUACGAUGUCGCAAAAGAACGUAUAAUAUAUCAAAAUGCUGGUAAGCAGCAUGACUAUUAUCGCCCACAACUCAUUGUGUUCUAGUCGUGCAUAUAACAUCUACACAUAGACCUGGUUCGGAUGCCACUGUUGGGGAACACAGUAUUUCAAAAAAUUCACCUACGAUGACACAAGAUCUAUCGCCCGAUCCAAGUACCAAACGUACGGCACCUCCGCGAUCAGCACAUAUUCAUCUCGAUGACGCCCCUCAAACUCUUGAUCCAGUUGCGGCCGAGGGAGAGUUUCUUCAGCACGACGGCAUGGCGAUGGUGAUGAUGAAGUUUACCGGCGCAGUGCUUCGCCUCAACACUACGAUGAUUUGUCCGAGGUGUGUAACUGUGGAGGGGGGCAUCGCACACGGCUAAGAGAAACUUUUGUGUACCUUUGGGGUGCCCCCCUCCCAUGUAUAUAAAGGAGGGGGGAGGAGGAGGCCGGACAAGGUGUGGCGCGCCAACGGGGGAGUCCUACUUGGGCUCCCGGUCCAACUAGGAUUCGCCCCCCUCCUUUCCUAUUCCAAGAAGGAGAAGGGGGAAAGAGAGGGAGGAGAAGAACGAAAGGGGGCCACCCCUCCCCCAACCCUAGUCCAAUUCGGAUUAGGAUUGGGGGGGCGCGCGCCUCCACCUGGCCGCCGUCGCCUCCUUUCUUCCACUAGGGCCCAAGAAGGCCCAUUAACCCCUCGGGGGGUUCCGGUAACCCAUGGUACUUCGAAAAAUGCCUGAACCUAUCCGAGACCAUUCCAGUGUCCAAAAAUAACUUUCCAAUAUAUCAAUUGUCAUGUCUCGACCAUUUCGAGACUCCUCGUCAUGUCUGUGAUCUCAACUGGGACUCCGAACAAACUUCGGUUCAUCAAAAUACAUAACUCAUAAUACAAAUCGUCAUCGAACGUUAAAGCGCGCGGACCCUACGGGUUCGAGAACUAUGUAGACAUGACCGAGACGCAUCUCCGGUCUAUAACCAAUAGCGGAACCUGGAUGCUCAUAUUGGCUCCUACAUAUUCUACAAAGAUCUUUAUCGGUCAAAGCGCAUAACAACAUACGUUGUUCCCUUUGUCAUCGGUAUAUUACUUGCCCGAGACUCGAUCGUCGGUAUCAUCAUACCUAGUUCAAUCUUGUCACCGGAAAAUCUCUUUACUCGCUCAGUAAUGCAUCAUCCCGUGACUAACUCAUUAGUCACAUUGCUUGCAAGGCUCAUAGUGAUGUGCAUUACCGAGAGGGCCCAGAGAUACCUCUCCGAUACAAAGAGUGACAAAUCCUAAUAUCGAUCUAUGCCAACUCAAUAAUCACCAUCGGAGACACCUGUAGAACAUCUUUAUAAUCACCCAGUUACGUUGUGAUGUUUGAUAGCACAGAAGGUGUUCCUCCGGUAUUUGGGAGUUGCAUAAUCUCAUAGUAUGAGGAACAUGUAUAAGUCAUGAAGAAAGCAAUAGCAGAAAAACUAAACGAUCAUUAUGCUAAGCUAACGGAUGGGUCUUGUCCAUCACAUCUUUCUCUAAUGAUGUGAUCCCAUUCAUGAAAUGACAACCCAUGUCUAUGGCUAGGAAACUUAACCAUCUUUGAUUAACGAGCUAGUCAAGUAGUGGCAUACUAGGGACACUCUGUUUGUGUAUGUAUCCACAUAUGUACUAAGUUUCCGCUUAAUACAAUUCUAGCAUCAAUAAUAAACAUUUAUCAUGAUAUAAGAAAUUAUAAACAACAAAUUUAUUAUUGCUUCUAGGGCAUAUUUCCUUCAUAUUUGAUAUACAUGUUAUUGAUGUGUUCCUUACUAAUGCUUGUAGUAGCGCCUGUGUAUUUGAUACUUGUUUUGUUGCUCAUAUUUACAACUUGAAAUAGGGGCGACGGAUUAAACGAAGAUUGGUAAAGGAUGAGGAGACGAUGCGCAUGGGAAAUGGUUCCAAAGUCGAUGUCAUCACCGUUGGCACGCUACCUCUACAUGUACCGCUGGAUUAGUUUUAGACCUAAAUAAUUAUUAUUUGGUGCCGGCGUUGAGCAUGAACAUUAUAUCUGGAUCUUUUUGAUGCGAGACGGUUAUUCAUUUAAAUCAGAGAAUAAUCGUUGUUCUAUUUAUAUGAGUAAUAUUUUUUAUGGUCAUGCACCCUUGAUGAUUGGUCUAUUUUUGUUGAAUCUCGGUUGUAGUGGUACACAUAUUCAUAAUAUUGAAGUGAAAAGAUGCAAAGUUAAUAUUGAUAGUGCAACUUAUUUGUGGCACUGCCAUUUAGGUCAUAUUGGUUUAAAGCGCAUGAAGAAACUCCAUGCUGAUGGGCACUUGAUUAUGAAUCACUUGAUGCUUACGAACCAUGCCUCAUGGGUAAGAAGACUAAGACUCCAUUCUCCGGAACAAUGGAGCGAGCAACUGACUUGUUAGAAAUAAUACAUACUAAUGUAUGCGGUCCGAUGAGUUUUGAGGCACGCAGCAGGUAUCAUUAUUUUCUAACCUUCAUAGCUGAUUUGAGCAAAUAUGGGUAUAUCUAGUUAAUGAAACAUAAGUCUGAAACAUUUAAAAAAUUCAAAGAACUUCGGAGUGAAGUGGAAAAUCAUCGCAACAAGAAAAUAAAGUUUCUACGAUCUGAUCGUGGAGGUGAAUAUUUGAGUUAUGAGUUUGGUCUUCAUUUGAAACAAUGUGGAAUAGUUUCGCAACUCACGGCACCCGAAACACCAUAGCGUAAUGGUGUGUCUGAACGUCGUAACCGUACUUUAUUACGUAUCGUGCGAUCUAUGAUGUCUCUUACCGACUUACCGCUAUCGUUUUGGGGUUAUGCUUUAGAGACGGCCGCAUUCACGUUAAAUAAGGCACCAUCUAAAUCUGUUGAGACGACAACAUAUAAACUGUGGUUUGGCAAGAAACCUAAGCCGUCGUUUCCUAAAGUUUGGGGCUGCGAUGCUUACGUGAAAAAGCUUCAUCCUGAUAAGCUCGAACCCAAAUCGGAGAUAUGUGUCUUCAUAGGAUAACCAAAGGAAACUGUUGGGUACACCUUUUAUCACAGAUCCGAAGGCAAGAUAUUCGUUGCUAAGAAUGGAUCCUUUCUAGAGAAGGAGUUUCUCUUGAAACAAGUGAGUGGGAGGAAAGUAGAACUUGAUGAGGUAAUUGUACCUUCUCCGGAAUUGGAAAGUAGUUCAUCACAGAAAUCAGUUCCAGUGAUUCCUACACCAAUUAGUGAGGAAGCAAAUGGUGAAGAUCCUGAAACACUAGAUCAAGUUACUACCGAACCUUGUAGGUCAACCAGAGUAUGAUCCGCACCAGAGUGGUACGGUAAUCCUAUUCUGGAAGUCAUGUUACUAGACCAUGAAGAACCUACGAACUAUGAGGAAGCGAUGAUGAGCCUAGAUUCCGUGAAAUGGCUUGAGGCCAUGAAAUCUGAGAUGGGAUCCAUGUAUGAGAACAAAGUGUGGAGUUUGGUUCACUUGCCCGAUGAUCGACAAGCCAUAGAGAAUAAAUGGAUCUUUAAGAAGACUGACGCUGACAGUAAUAUUACUAUCUACAAAUCUCGACUUGUUGUGAAAGGUUUUCGACAAAUUCAAGGAGUUGACUACGAUGAGACCUUCUCACCCGUAGCGAUGCUUAAGUAUAUCCGAAUCAUGUUAGCAAUUGCCGCAUGUUAUGAUUAUGAAAUUUGGCAAAUGGAUGCAAAACUACAUUCCUUAAUAGAUAUCUUAAAGAAGAGUUGUAUAUGAUGCAACCAGAAGGUUUUGUCGAUCCUAAAGGUGCUAAAAAAGUGUGCAAGCUCCAGCGAUCCGUUUAUGGACUGGUGCAAGCCUCUCGGAGUAGGAAUAUACGCUUUGAUAGUGUGAUCAAAGCAUAUGGUUUUAUAUGGACUUUUGGAGAAGAAUGUAUUUACAAGAAAGUGAGUGGGAGCUCUGUAGCAUUUCUAAUAUUAUAUGUGCAUGACAUAUUGUUGAUUGGAGACAAUAUAGAAUUUAUGGAUUGCAUAAAAGGAUAUUUGAAUAAGAAUUUUUCAAUGAAAGACCUCGGUGAAGCUUCUUAUAUAUUGGGCAUCAAGAUCUAUAGAGAUAGAUCAAGAUGCUUAAAUGGACUUCCACAAAGCACACACUACUAGGGAAAACCUUAUACACAGAAACUUACCAAUAGUGCGGGACAAAAGAAGUGCUACUACAAUUUACCACUAGCUUAUGUUAUCCAAACGCGUUGCAGCUAAGAUCAUAGCAGUAGCGCGUCUAACUGUAGAGGCGCUACUACUACAAUUCUCCUUACUAUUCUCGCCAGGGUACCUAUAGUUGUAGCGUGCCUAAGGAAAGCGCGCUGCUGCUAAGAUUGUUGUAGCAGCGUGUUUCGCGCAGGAAGCGCUACUGCUAAGGAAAGGAAAAUAAGAUCAAAAACAUAUAGAAAAGUAAAUGAAAAUAAAAGAAAUACAAAAAGGGGAAGGAAAAAAAUGUGAAUGAAAAUAAAUGAAAAAGAAAAAUAAAGGAGAAAUGCGUAGCAGCAGCAGGCUUUAUGGACAGCGCUAUAGCUAAUGUAGCAGUAGCGUUUUCUGUGGAACGCGCUGCUGCUAAUUUCCACUUAACCAACCGUUUUCUUCUUCCCCAACGCCCACUUCCCCCAAAUCCAACACGUGUGCGUCUGCUGUCGCCGCCAUCAUCGCCCGGCCGCCGCGCGCUCUCUCGUCGACCUCUGCACGCCGUCGACACAGCCCCCGACCCCGACCUCGACACCCCCCUACAUCGCCGCCGUGCUCCAUGCGCCCUGCUACCUCUUGAGCACUACAUUGGUUUUCCCUUGAAGAGGAAAGGGUGAUGCAGUAAAGUUGCGUAAGCAUUUCCCUCAAUGAGAACCAAGGUAUCAAUCCAGUAGGAGAUCACGCUCGAGUCCCACACACCUACACAAACAAAUAAGAACCUCGCAACCAACGUGAUAAAGGGGUUGUCAAUCCCUUCACGGUCACUUACAAGAGUGAGAUCUGAUAGAUAUGAUAAGAUAAUAUUUUUAGUACUUUUAUGAUACAGAGAAAUAAUGAUGCGAAGUAAAAUAAAUGGCAAUAGAAAUAGCUAAGUGUUGGAAGAUUAAGAUGAUGGAAGAUAGACGCGGGGGACAUGGGUUUCACUAGUGGCUUCUCUCAAGAGCAUGAGUAUUAGGUGAGUAAACGAAUUACUAUCGAGCAAUUGAUAGAAUUGAGCAUAGUUAUGAGAAUAUCUAGGUAUGAUCAUGUAUAGAGGCAUCACGUCCGUGACAAGUAGACCGAAACGAUUCUACAUCUACUACUAUUACUCCACACAUCGACCGCUAUCCAGCAUGCAUCUAGAGUAUUAAGUUCAUAAGAACAGAGUAACGCCUUAAGAAAGACGACAUGAUGUAGAGGGAUAAACCUAUGCAAUAUAAUAUAAACCAAAUCUUUUUAUCCUCGAUGGCAACAAUACAAUACGUGUCGUUUCCCCUACUGUCACUGGGAUCGAGCACCGCAAGAUUGAACCCAAAGCUAAGCACUUCUCCCAUUGCAAGAAAGAUCAAUCUAGUAGGCCAAACCAAACUGAUAAUUUGAAGAGACUUCCAAAGAUAAACCAAUCAUACAUAAAAUAAUUCAGAGGAGAUUCAAAUAAUGUUCAUAGAUAAACUUGAUCAGAAACCCACAAUUCAUCGGAUCUCGACAAACACACCACAAAAGAAGAUUACCUCGAAUAGAUCUCACAAGAUCGAGGAUAACUUUGUAUUGAGAUCCAAAGAGAGAUAAGAAGCCAAAUAGCUAAUAACUAUGGACCCGAAGGUCUGAAGUAAACUACUCACACAUCACCGGAGAGGCCAUGGAGUUGAUGUAGAGGCCCUCCGUGAUGGAUGCCCCAUCCGGCGGAGCUCCGGAAAAGGAUCCAAGAUGGGAUCUCUCGGGUACAGAAGGUUGCGGCGGUGGAAUUAGGUUUUCAUGGUGCUCCUAGAUGUUUGGGGGGGUACGUGGAUAUAUAUAGGAGGAAGAAGUACAUCGGUGGAGCAACGAGGGGCCCACGAGGGUGGAGGGCGCGCCCCCUGCCUUGUGGCCUCCUCGAUUGUUUCUUGACGCCCACUCCAAGUCUCCUAGAUCAUGUUUGUUGAGAAAAUCACGUUCCCGAAGGUUUCAGAUAUUCCUCUUCAGCGAAACUCUAAAAUAGGCCAAAAAAACAGAAAUUUGGGCUGGGCCUCCAGUUAGUAGGUUAGUCCCAAAAAUGAUAUAAAAGUGUAAAAUAAAUCCCAUUAACAUUCAAAAUAGAUAAUGUAAUAGCAUGAAGAAAUCAAAAAUUAUAGAUACGUUGGAGACGUAUCAAGCAUCCCCAAGCUUAAUUCCUGCUCGUCCUCGAGUAGGUAAAUGAUAAAAAAGAAUUUUUGAUGUGAAUGCUUUCUAACAUAUUUCUCAAUGUAAUUUUUCUUUAUUGUGGCAUGAAUGUUCAGAUACGAAAGAUUCAAAACAAAAGUUUAAUAUUGACAUAAAAAUAGUAAUACUUGAAGCAUACUAACUAAGCGAUCAUUUCUUCUCAAAAAUAACAUGGCCAAAGAAAGUUAUCCCUACAAAAUCAUAUAGUCUGGCUAUGCUCUAUCUUCACCACACAAAAUAUUUAAAUCAUGCACAACCCCGAUGAUAAGCCAAGAAAUUGUUUCAUACUUUUGAUGUUCUCAAACUUUUUCAAUCUUCACGCAAUACAUGAGCGUGAGCCAUGGACAUAGCACUAUAUAUGGAAUAGAAUGGUGGUUGUGGAGAAGACAAAAAGGAGAAGAUAGUCUCACAUCAACUAGGCAUAUCAACGGGCUAUGGAGAUGCCUAUUAAUAGAUAUCAAUGUGAGUGAGUAGGGAUUUCCAUGCAACGGAUGCACUAGAGCUAUAAGUAUAUGAAAUAUCAACAAAAGAAACUAAGUGGGUGUGCAUCCAACUCGCUUGCUCAUGAAGACCUAGGGCAUUUUGAGGAAGCCCAUCAUUGGAAUAUACAAGCCAAGUUCUAUAAUGAAAAAUUACCACUAGUAUAUGAAAGUGAUAUCAUAGGAGACUCUCUAUCAUGAAGAUCAUGGUGCUACUUUGAAGCACAAGUGUGGAAAAGGGAUAUUAGCAUUGUCCCUUCUCUCUUUUUCUCUCAUUUUUUGGGCCUUCUCCUUUUAUAUGGCCUUUUUUCGUCCGGAGUCUCAUCCUGACUUGUGGGGGAAUCAUAGUCUCCAUCAUCCUUUCCUCACUUGGGACAGUGCUCUAGUAAUGAUGAUCAUCAUACUUUAUUUACUUACAACUCAAGAAUUACAACUCGAUACUUAGAACAAAAUAUGACUAUGUGAAUGCCUCCAGCGGUGUACCGGGAUGUGCAAUGAUGCAUGACUGACAUGUAUGAAGAAUUAUGAACGGUGGCUUUGCCACAAAUACGAUGUCAACUACAUGAUCACGCAAGCAAUAUGACAAUGAUGAAGCGUGUCAUAAUAACGGAAUGGUGGAAAGUUGCAUGCCAAUAUAUCUCGGAAUGGCUAUGGAAAUGCCAUAAUAGGUAGGUAUGGUGGAUGUUUUGAGGAAGGUAUAUGGUGGGUGUAUGAUACCGGCAAAAAGUGCGCAGUAUUAGAGAGGCUAGCAAUGGUGGAAGGAUGAGAGUGUGUAUAAUCUAUGUGUUGGGGGACGUUGCAGAAAACAAAAAAUUUCCUACGGUUUCACCAAGAUCCAUCUAGGAGUUCAUCUAGCAACGAGUGAUUGGAUUGCAUCUACAUACCUUUGUAGAUCACGCGCGGAAGCGUUCAAAGAACGGGGAUGAGGAAGUAGUACUCGACGUGAUCCAAAUCACCGGAGAUCCUAGCGCCGAACUGACGGCACCUCCGCGUUCAACACACGUACGGUCAGCGUAACGUCUCCUCCUUCUUGAUCCAGCAAGGGGGAAGGAGAGGUUGAGGAAGAUGGCUCCAGCAGCAGCACGACGGCGUGGUGGUGGUGGAGCUGCAGUACUCCGGCAGGGCUUUGCCAAGCUCUAUGGAGGAGGAGGAGGUGUUGGAGAGGGAGAGGGAGGCACCAAAGGCCAAGGUAAGAAGUCCUCCAUCCUCCCCACUAUAUAUAGGCGGCCCAAGGGGGGGCGGCCCUAGGAGAUGCAAUCUCCUAGGGGGGCGGCGGCCAAGGGGUGGGGGGCUUGCCCCCCAAGCAAGGGGGCGCCCCCCAUUUAGGGUUUCCCCCACCCUAGGCGCAUGGGCCCUAGGGGAAGUGGCGCCCCAGCCCACUUUGGGCUGGAUCCGUUCCCACUUUAGCCCAUGGGGCCCUCCGGGAUAGGUGGCCCCACCCGGUGGACCCCUGGGACCCUUCCAGUGGUCCCGGUACAAUACCGGUGACCCCGAAACUUGUCCCGAUGGCCGAAAUAGCACUUCCUAUAUAUAAUUCUUUACCUCCGGACCAUUCCGGAACUCCUCGUGACGUCCGGGAUCUCAUCCGGGACUCCGAACAACAUUCGGGUUACUGCAUAUACAUAUCCCUACAACCCUAGCAUCACCGAACCUUAAGUGUGUAGACCCUACGGGUUCGGGAGACAUGUAGACAUGACCGAGACGGCUCUCUAGUCAAUAAUCAACAGCGGGAUCUGGAUACCCAUGUUGGCUCCCACAUGCUCCUCGAUGAUCUCAUCAGAUGAACCACGAUGUCGAGGAUUCAAGCAACCCCGUAUACAAUUCCCUUCGUCAAUCGGUAUGUUUCUUGCCCGAGAUUCGAUUGUCGGAAUCCCAAUACCUCGUUCAAUCUCGUUACCGGCAAGUCACUUUACUCGUACCGUAAUACAUGAUCCCGUGACUAGACACUUGGUUACUUUGAGCUCAUUAUGAUGAUGCAUUACCGAGUGGGCCCAGUGAUACCUCUCCGUCAUACGGAGUGACAAAUCCUAGUCUUGAUCCGUGUCAACCCAACAGACACUUUUGGAGAUACCCGUAGCCUUUAUAGUCACCCAGUCACGUUGUGACGUUUGGUACACACAAAGCACUCCUACGGUAUCCGGGAGUUACACGAUCUCAUGGUCUAAGGAAAAGGUACUUGACAUUGGAAAACUCUAGCAAACGAACUAUACAAUCUUGUGCUAUGUUUAGGAUUGGGUCUUGUCCAUCACAUCAUUCUCCUAAUGAUGUGAUCUCGUUAUCAAUGACAUCCAAUGUCCAUAGUUAGGAAACCAUGACUAUAUGUUGAUCAACGAGCUAGUCAACUAGAGGCUUACUAGGGACAUGUUAGUGUCUAAGUAUUCACACAUGUAUUACGAUUUCCGGAUAACACAAUUAUAGCAUGAAUAAAAGACAAUUAUCAUGAACAAGGAAAUAUAAUAAUAAUGCUUUUAUUAUUGCCUCUAGGGCAUAUUUCCAAUAGUCUCCCACUUGCACUAGAGUCAAUAAUCUAGUUACAUUGUGAUGAAUCGAACACCCAUGGAAUUCUGGUGUUGAUCAUGUUUUGCUCUAGGGAGAGGUUUAGUCAACGGAUCUGCUACAUUCAGGUCCGUAUGUACUUUACAAAUAUCUAUGUCUCCAUCUUGAACAUUUUCACGAAUGGAGUUGAAGCGACGCUUGAUAUGCCUUGUCUUCUUGUGAAACCUGGGCUCCUUGGCAAGAGCAUUAGCUCCAGUGUUGUCACAGAAGAGCUUGAUCGGCCCCGACACAUUGGGUAUCACUCCUAGGUCGGUGAUGAACUCCUUCACCCAAAUUGCUUCAUGCGCUGCCUCCGAGGCUGCCAUGUACUCCGCUUCACAUGUAGAUCCCGCCACGACGCUCUGCUUGCAACUGCACCAGCUUACUGCCCCACCAUUCAAAAUAUACACGUAUCCGGUUUGUGACUUAGAGUCAUCCAGAUCUGUAUCGAAGCUAGCGUCGACGUAACCUUUUACGACGAGCUCUUCGUCACCUCCAUAAACAAGAAACAUUUCCUUAGUCCUUUUUAGGUACUUCAGUAUAUUCUUGACCGCUGUCCAGGGUUCCUUGCCGGGAUUACUUUGGUACCUUCCUACCAAACUUACGGCAAGGUUUACAUCAGGUCUGGUACACAUCAUGGCAUACAUAAUAGAGCCUAUGGCUGAGGCAUAGGGGAUGACACUCAUCUCUUCUAUAUCUUCUGCCGUGGUCGGACAUUGACCUGAGCUCAAUUUCACACCUUGUAACACAGGCAAGAACCCCUUCUUAGACUGAUCCAUAUUGAAUUUCUUCAAUAUCUUAUCAAGGUAUGUGCUUUGUGAAAGACCUACGAGGCGUCUUGAUCUAUCUCUAUAGAUCUUGAUGCCUAAUAUAUAUGCAGCUUCUCCAAGGUCCUUCAUUGAAAAACUCUUAUUCUUGUAGGCCUUAAUGUUGUCCAAGAGUUCUAUAUCAUUUCCCAUCAAAAGUAUGUCAUCUACAUAUAAUAUGAGAAAUGCUACAGAGCUCCCACUCACUUUCUUGUAAACACAGGCUUCUCCAUAAGUCUGCGUAAACCCAAACGCUUUGAUCAUCUCAUCAAAGCGAAUGUUCCAACUCCGAGAUGCUUGCACCAGCCCAUAAAUCGAGCGUUGGAGCUUGCACACCUUGUCAGCAUUCUUAGGAUCGACAAAACCUUCUGGCUGCAUCAUAUACAAUUCUUCCUUAAGGAAACCAUUAAGGAAUGCCGUUUUGACGUCCAUUUGCCAUAUCUCAUAAUCAUAGAAUGCGGCAAUUGCUAACAUGAUUCAGACGGACUUUAGCUUCGCUACCGGUGAGAAAGUCUCAUCGUAGUCAACCCCUUGAACUUGUCGAUAACCCUUAGCGACAAGCCGAGCCUUAUAGAUGGUCACAUUACCAUCCGUGUUUGUCUUCUUCUUAAAGAUCCAUUUAUUUUCUAUGGCUCGCCGCUCUUCGGGCAAGUCAGUCAAAGUCCAUACUUCGUUUUCAUACAUGGAUCCUAUCUCAGAUUUCAUGGCUUCCAGCCAUUUGCCGGAAUCCGGGCCCGCCAUCGCUUCUUCAUAGUUCGAAGGUUCACCAUUGUCUAACAACAUGAUUUCCAAGACAGGGUUGCCGUACCAAUCUGGUGCGGAACGUAUCCUUGUGGACUUUCGAAUUUCAGUAGGAGCUUGAUCAGAAGUAUCUUGAUCAUCAUCAUUAACUUCCUCUCUAGUCGGUGCAGGCACCUCAGGAACAUUUUCUUGAGUUGCGCCAUUUUCCGGUUCAAGAGGUAAUACUUCAUCAAGUUCUACUUUCCUCCCACUUACUUCUUUCGAGAGAAACUCCUUCUCUAGAAAGGAUCCAUUCUUGGCAACAAAGAUCUUGCCUUCGGAUCUGAGGUAGAAGGUAUACCCAAUAGUUUCUUUAGGAUAUCCUAUGAAGACGCAUUUUUUCGACUUGGGUUCGAGCUUUUCAGGUUGAAGUUUCUUGACAUAAGCAUCGCAUCCCCAAACUUUUAAAAACGACAGCUUAGGUUUCUUCCCAAACAAUAAUUCAUACGGUGUCAUCUCAACGGAUUUCGACGGAGCCCUAUUUAAAGUGAAUGCGGCAGUCUCUAAAGCAUAGCUCCAAAAAGAUAGCGGUAUAUCGGUAGGAGACAUCAUAGAUCGCACCAUAUCUAAUAGAGUGCGAUUACGACGUUCGGACGCACCAUUACGCUGAGGUGUUCCAGGCGGCGUGAGCUGUGAAACUAUUCCACAUUUUCUUAAGUGUGUGCCAAACUCGUGACUCAAGUAUUCUCCUCCACAAUCUGAUCGUAGGAACUUGAUUUUCCUGUCAUGUUGAUUCUCAACCUCACUCUGAAAUUCCUUGAACUUUUCAAAGGUCUCAGACUUGUGUUUCAUUAAAUAGAUAUACCCAUAUCUACUCAAGUCAUCAGUGAGGGUGAGAACAUAACGAUAGCCACCGCGAGCCUCAACACUCAUUGGACCGCACACAUCAGUAUGUAUGAUUUCCAAUAAGUUGGUUGCUCGCUCCAUUAUUCCUGAGAACGGAGUCUUGGUCAUUUUACCCAUGAGGCAUGGUUCGCAUGUGUCAAAUGAUUCGUAAUCAAGAGACUCUAAAAGUCCAUCAGCAUGGAGCUUCUUCAUGCGUUUGACACCUAUGUGACCAAGGCGGCAGUGCCACAAGUAUGUGGGACUAUCAUUAUCAAUCUUACAUCUUUUGGUACUCACACUAUGAACAUGUUUAGCAUUACGCUCGAGAUUCAUUAAGAAUAAACCAUUCACCAUCGGAGCAUGACCAUAAAACAUAUCUCUCAUAUAAAUAGAACAACCAUUAUUCUCGGAUUUAAAUGAGUAGCCAUCUCGAAUUAAACGAGAUCCUGAUAUAAUGUUCAUGCUCAAAGCUGGCACUAAAUAACAAUUAUUAAGGUUUAAAACUAAUCCCGAAGGUAAAUGUAGAGGUAGCAUGCCGACGGCGAUCACAUUGACCUUGGAACCAUUCCCGACGCGCAUCGUCACCUCGUCCUUCGCCAGUCUCCGCUUAUUCCGCAGCUCCUGUUUUGAGUUACAAAUGUGAGCAACUGCACCGGUAUCAAAUACCCAGGAGCUACUACGAGUACUGGUAAGGUACACAUCAAUUACAUGUAUAUCACAUAUACCUUUCGUGAUGCCGGCCUUCUUGUCCGCUAAGUAUUUGGGGCAGUUCCGCUUCCAGUGACCACUUUCCUUGCAAUAAAAGCACUCAGUCUUGGGCUUGGGUCAAUUCUUUGGCUUCUUCCCGGCAGCUUGCUUGCCGGGCGCGGCAACUCCCUUGCCGUCCUUCUUGAAGGCUUUCUUGCCCUUGCCCUUCUUGAACUUAGUGGUUUUAUUCACCAUCAACACUUGAUGUUCCUUUUUGACUUCUACCUCCGCUGAUUUCAGCAUUACAAAUACUUCAGGAAUGGUCUUUUCCAUCCCCUGCAUAUUGAAGUUCAUCACGAAGCUCUUGUAGCUCGGUGGAAGCGACUGAAGGAUUCUGUCAAUGACCGCGUCAUCCGGGAGGUUAACUCCCAGCCGAGUCAAGCAGUUAUGCAACCCAGACAUAAUGAGUAUGUGCUCACUGACAGAACUGUUUUCCUCCAUCUUACAGCUGAAGAACUUAUCGGAGACUUGAUAUCUCUCGACCCGGGCAUGAGCUUGGAAAACCAUUUUCAGCUCUUCGAACAUCUCAUAUGCUCCGUGUCUCUCAAAACGCUUUUGGAGCCCCGGCUCUAAGCUGUAAAGCAUGCCGCACUGAACGAGGGAGUAGUCAUCGGUACGUGCCUGCCAAGCGUUCAUAACGUCUUGUUCUGCAGGGAGAACAGGUGCGUCACCUAGCGGUGCUUGUAGGACAUAAUCUUUCUUGGCAGCCAUGAGGAUGAUCCUCAGUUUCCGGACCCAGUCCGUGUAGUUGCUGCCAUCGUCUUUCAACUUGGUUUUCUCUAGGAACGCGUUGAAGUUGAGGACUACGUUGGCCAUUUGAUCUACAAGACAUAUUGUAAAUAUUUUAGACUAAGUUCAUGAUAAUUAAGUUCAUCUAAUCAAAUUAUUCAAUGAACUCCCACUUAGAUAGACAUCCCUACAGUAAUCUAAGUAUAACAUGAUCCGAGUUAACUAGGCCGUGUCCGAUCAUCACGUGAGACAGACUAGUCAACAUCGGUGAACAUCUUCAUGUUGAUCGUAUCUUCUAUACGACUCAUGCUCGACCUUUCGGUCUUCUGUGUUCCGAGGCCAUGUCUGUACAUGCUAGGCUUGUCAAGUCAACCUAAGUGUUUGCAUGUGUAAAUCUGUCUUACACCCGUUGUAUGUGAACGUUGGAAUCUAACACCCGAUCAUCACGUGGUGCUUCGAAACAACGAACUAUCGCAACGAUGGACAGUUAGGGGGAACACUUUCGUGAAAUUAUUAUGAGGGAUCAUCUUAUUUACUACCGUCGUUCUAAGUAAACAAGAUGCAGAAACAUGAUAAACAUCACAUGCAAUCAAAUAAUAAUAGUGACAUGAUAUGGCCAAUAUCACAUAGCUCCUUUGAUCUCCAUCUUGGGGCUCCAUGAUCAUCUUGUCACCGGCAUGACACCAUGAUCUCCAUCAUCAUGAUCUCCAUCAUCGUGUCUCCAUGAAGUUGCUCGCCAACUAUUACUUCUACUACUAUGGCUAACGCGUUUAGCAAUAAAGUAAAGUAAUUUACAUGGCGUUUCUCGAUGACACGCAUGUCAUACAAAAAUAAAGACAACUCCUAUGGCUCCUGUCGGUUGUCAUACUCAUCGACAUGCAAGUCGUGAUUCCUAUUACAAUAGCAUGAACAUCUCAUACAUCACAUAUAUAUCAUUCAUCAUUCAUCACAACUUUGGCCAUAUCAUAUCACAAAGCACUUGCUGCAAAAACAAGUUAGACAUCCUUUAAUUGUUGUUGCAAGUUUUUUUACGUGGCUGAAAUAGGGUUCUAGCAAGAACGUUUUCUUACCUACGUGAAAGCCACAACGUGAUUUGUCAACUUCAAUUUACCCUUCAUAAGGACCCUUUUCAUCGAAUCCGCUCCAACUAAAGUGGGAGAGACAGACACCCGCCAGCCACCUUAUGCAACUUGUGCAUGUUAGUCGGUGGAACCGGUCUCACGUAAGCGUACGUGUAAGGUUGGUCCGGGCCGCUUCAUCCCACAAUACCGUUGAAGCAAGAUAAGACUAGUAGCGGCAAGAAAGUUGACAACAUCAACGCCCACAACAAAUUGUGUUCUACUCGUGCAAGAGAACUACGCAUAGACCUAGCUCAUGAUGCCACUGUUGGGGAACGUUGCAGAAAAUAAAAACUUUCCUACGGUUUCACCAAGAUCCAUCUAGGAGUUCAUCUAGCAACGAGUGAUUGAAUUUCAUCUGCAUACCUUUGUAGAUCACACGAGGAACCGUUCAAAGAACGGGCAUCAGGAAGUCGUACUCGACGUGAUCCAAAUCACCGGAGAUCCUAGCGCCGAACUGACGGCACCUCCGCGUUCAACACACGUACGGUCAGUGUAACGUCUCCUCCUUCUUGAUCCAGCAAGGGGGAAGGAGAGGUUGAGGAAGAUGGCUCUAGCAGCAGCACGACGGCGUGGUGGUGGUGGAGCUGCAGUACUCCGGCAGGGCUUCGCCAAGCUCUAUGGAGGAGGAGGAGGUGUUGGAGAGGGAGAGGGAGGCACCAAAGGCCAAGGUAAGAAGCCCUCCAUCCUCCCCACUAUAUAUAGGGGGGCCAAGGGGGGUGCCGGCCCUAGGAGAUGCAAUCUCCUAGGGGGGCGGCGGCCAAGGGGUGGGGGGCUUGCCCCCCAAGCAAGGGGCGCCCCCCCUUUAGGGUUUCCCCCACCCUAGGCGCAUGGGCCCUAGGGGAAGUGGCACCCCAGCCCACUUUGGGCUGGAUCCCUUCCCACUUUAGCCCAUGGUGCCCUCCGGGAUAGGUGGCCCCACCCGAUGGACCCCCGAGACCCUUCCGGUGGUCCCGGUACAAUACCGGUGACCCCAAAACUUGUCCCGAUGGCCGAAAUAGCACUUCCUAUAUAUAAUUCUUUACCUCCGGACCAUUCUGGAACUCCUCAUGACGUCCGGGAUCUCAUCCAAGACUCCGAACAACAUUCGGGUUACUGCCUAUACAUAUUGUUGGAAAUAUGCCCUAGAGGCAAUAAUAAAAGUAUUAUUAUAUUUUAUUGUUCAUGAUAAUUGUCUUUUAUUCAUGCUAUAACUGUAUUAUCCGGAAAUCAUAAUACACGUGUGAAUACUUAGACCACACUAUGUCCCUGGUAAGCCUCUAGUUGACCAGCUCGUUGUGAUCAACAGAUAGUCAUGGUUUCCUGACUAUGGACAUUGGAUGUCGUUGAUAACGGGAUCACAUCAUUAGGAGAAUGAUGUGAUGGACAAGACCCAAUCCUAAGCAUAGCAUAAAAGAUCGUGUAGUUCGUUUUGCUAGAGCUUUGCAAGUGUCAAGUAUCUCUUCCUUCGACCAUGAGAUCGUGUAACUCCCGGAUACCGUAAGAGUGCCUUGGGUGUACCAAACGUCACAACGUAACUGGGUGACUAUAAAGGUGCAUUACAGGUAUCUCCGAAAGUAGCUAUUGGGUUGACACGGAUCGAGACUGGGAUUUGUCACUCCGUAUGACGGAGAGGUAUCUCUGGGCCCACUCGGUAAUGCAUCAUCAUAAUGAGCUCAAUGUGACCAAGGUGUUGGACACGGGAUCAUGCAUUACGGUACGAGUAAAGUGACUUGCCGGUAACGAGACUGAACAAGGUAUUGGGAUACCGACGAUCGAGUCUCGGGCAAGUAACGUACCGAUUGACAAAGGGAAUUGCAUACAGGGUUUGAUCAAAUCCUCGACAUAGUGGUUCAUCCGAUGACAACAUCGAGGAGCAUGUGGGAGCCAUCAUGGGUAUCCAGAUCCCGCUGAUGGUUAUUGACUGAGAGCGUCUCGGUCAUGUCUGCAUGUCUCCCGAACCCGUAGGGUCUACACACUUAAGGUUCGGUGACGCUAGGGUUAUGAAGAUAUGUAUAUGCAGAAACCCGAAUGUUGUUUGGAGUCCCGGAUGAGAUCCCGGACGUCACGAGGAGUUCCGGAAUGGUCCGGAGGUAAAGAAUUAUAUAUAGGAAGUGCUAUUUCGGGCAUCGGGACAAGUUUCGGGGUUAUCGGUAUUGUACCGGGACCACCGGAAGGGUCCCGGGGGUCCACCGGGUGGGGCCACCUGUCCCGGGGGGGCCACAUGGGCUGUAGGGGGUGCGCCUUGGCCAUCAUGGGCCAAGGGCACCAGCCCCUAUAGGCCCAUGCGCCUAGGGUUUCCCCCUAGGAGGAGUCCUAGUGGUGGAAGGCACCCCUAGGUGCCUUGGGGGGGAGGGAAACCUCCCCUAGGCCGCCGCCCCCCCUAGUAGAUCUCAUCUACUAGGGCCGGAGCCCCCCCCUUGGCACCCCUAUAUAUAGUGGGGGGGGAGAGGAGGAGAACACACCAGCCCCUGGCGCCUCCACCUCCCCCCGUUACGUCUCUCCCUCGUAGUCUCGGCGAAGCCCUGCUGCUGUGACGCCCUGCAUCCACCACCACGCCGUCGUGCUGCUGGAUCUUCAUCAACCUCUCCUUCCCCCUUGCUGGAUCAAGAAGGAGGAGACGUCUCCCGUCCCGUACGUGUGUUGAACGCGGAGGUGCCGUCCGUUCGGCGCUGGUCAUCGGUGAUUUGGAUCACGUCGAGUACGAUUACAUCAUCACCUUGCAAGCUUCCGCACGCGAUCUACAAGUGGUAUGUAGAUGCAAACUCUCUCCCUAGACUCGUUGCUUAGAUGAACUCAUAGAUGGAUCUUGGUGAAACCGUAGGAAAAAUUUUAAUUUUCUGCAACGUUCCCCAACAGUGGCAUCAUGAGCUAGGUCUAUGCGUAGUUCUCUUUGCACGAGUAGAACACAACUUUGUUGUGGGCGUGGAUUUUGUCAUCUUACUUGCCUCUACUAGUCUUUUCUUGCUCAACGGUAUUGUGGGAUGAAGCGGCCCGGACCAACCUUACACGUACACUUACGUGAGACCGGUUCCACCGACUGACAUGCACAAGUUGCAUAAGGUGGCUGGCGGGUGUCUGUCUCUCCCACCUUAGUUGGAGUGGAAUCGAUGAACAGGGCCCUUAUGAAGGGUAAAUAGAAGUUGACAAAAUCACGUUGUGGUGAUUCGUAGGUAAGAAAACGUUCUUGCUAGAACCCAAUUGCAGCCACGUAAAAGAUGCAACAACAAUUAGAGGACGUCUAACUUGUUUUUGCAGCGAUUGAUCAUGUGAUGUGAUAUGGCCAGAAGUUGUGAUGAAUGAUGAAUUGUGAUGUAUGAGAUCAUGUUCUUUGUAAUAGGAUUCACGACUUGCAUGUCGAUGAGUAUGACAACCGGCAGGAGCCAUAGGAGUUGUCAUUAUUUUUUGUAUGACCUGCGUGUCAUUGAAUAACGUCAUGUAAACUACUUUACUUUAUUGCUAAACGUUAGUCAUAGAAGUAGAAGUAGUCGUUGGCGUGACAACUUCAUGAAGACACGAUGAUGGAGAUCAUGAUGAUGGAGAUCAUGGUGUCAAGCCGGUGACAAGAUGAUCAUGGAGCCCCGAAGAUGAAGAUCAAUGGAGCUAUAUGAUUUUGGCCAUAUCAUGUCACAACUAUAUAAUUGCAUGUGAUGUUUAUUAUGUAUUAUGCAUCUUGUUUACUUAGGACGACGGUAGUAAAUAAGAUGAUCCCUUAUAAAAUUUCAAGAAGUGUUCUCCCCUAACUGUGCACCGUUGCUACAGUUCGUCAUUUCUAAGCACCACGUGAUGAUCGGGUGUGAUGGAUUCUUACGUUCACAUACAACGGGUGUAAGACAGUUUUACACAGCGAAAACACUUAGGGUUAACUUGACGAGCCUAGCAUGUGCAGACAUGGCCUCGGAACACGGAGACCGAAAGGUCGAACACGAAUCGUAUAGAAGAUACGAUCAACAUGAAAAUGUUCACCGACGAUGACUAGUCCGUCUCGUGAUGAUCGGACACGGGCUAGUUGACUCGGAUCGUGUAACACUUAGAUGACUAGAGGGAUGUCUAAUCUAAAUGGGAGUUCAUAAUUUGAUUAGAACUUUAUUAUCAUGAACUUAGUCUAAAACCUUUGCAAAUAUGUCUUGUAGAUCAAUGGCCAACGCUAAUGUCAACAUGAACUUCAACGCGUUCCUAGAGAAAACCAAGCUGAAAGAUGAUGGCAGCAACUAUACGGACUGGGUCCGGAACCUGAGGAUCAUCCUCAUAGCUGCCAGGAAACAAUAUGUCCUAGAAGGACCGCUAGGUGACGCUCCUGUCCCAGAGAACCAAGACAUUAUGAAUGCUUGGCAGUCUCGCGCUGAUGAUUACUCCCUCGUUCAGUGCGGCAUGCUUUACAGCUUAGAACCGGGGCUCCAAAAGCGUUUUGAGCAUCACGGAGCAUAUGAGAUGUUCGAAGAGCUGAAACUAGUUUUCCAAGCUCAUGCCCGGGUCGAGAGAUAUGAUGUCUCCGACAAGUUCUACAGUUGUAAGAUGGAGGAAACCAGUUCUGUCAGUGAGCACAUCCUGAAGAUGUCUGGGUUGCACAACCGUAUGACCCAGCUGAACAUUAACUUCCCAGAUGAGGCGGUCAUUGACAGAAUCCUCCAGUCGCUCCCACCAAGCUACAAGAGCUUUGUGAUGAACUACAACAUGCAGGGAAUGGAAAAGACCAUUCCUGAAGUGUUCUCGAUGCUGAAGUCAGCAAAGGCUGAAAUCAAGAAAGAACAUCAAGUGUUGAUGGUCAAUAAGACCACUAAGUUCAAGAAGGGCAAGGGUAAGAAGAACUUCAAGAAGGACGGCAAAGAUGUUGCCGCGCCUGGUAAGCCAGUUACCGGGAAGAAGUCAAAGAAUGGACCCAAGCCUGAGACUGAGUGCUUUUAUUGCAAGGGGAAGGGUCACUGGAAGCGGAACUGCCCCAAAUACUUAGCGGAUAAGAAGGCCGGCAACACCAAAGGUAUAUUUGAUAUACAUGUGAUUGAUGUGUACCUUACCAGUAAUCGUAGUAACUCCUGGGUAUUUGAUACCGGUGCCGUUGCUCAUAUUUGUAACUCACAGCAGGAGCUGCGGAAUAAACGGAGACUGGCAAAGGACGAGGUGACGAUGCGCGUCGGGAAUGGUUCCAGAGUCGAUGUGAUCGCCGUCGGCAUGCUGCCUCUACAUUUACCUACGGGAUUAGUUUUGAACCUUAAUAAUUGUUAUUUAGUGCCAAGUUUGAGCAUGAACAUUGUAUCUGGAUCUCGUUUAAUACGAGAUGGCUACUCAUUUAAGUCUGAGAAUAAUGGUUGUUCGAUUUAUAUGAGAGAUAUGUUUUAUGGUCAUGCUCCGAUGGUCAAUGGUUUAUUCUUAAUGAAUCUCGAGCGUAAUAUUACACAUGUUCAUAGUGUAGAUGCCAAAAGAUUUAAAGUUGAUAACGAUAGUCCCACAUACUUGUGGCACUGCCGCCUUGGUCACAUUGGUGUCAAGCGCAUGAAGAAGCUCCAUGCCGAUGGACUUUUAGAGUCUCUUGAUUAUGAAUCGUUUGACACGUGCGAACCAUGCCUCUUAGGUAAAAUGACCAAGACUCCGUUCUCCGGAACAAUGGAGCGAUGUGUGCGGUCCAAUGAGCGUUGAGGCUCGCGGAGGAUAUCGUUAUGUUCUCACUCUCACAGAUGACUUGAGUAGAUAUGGGUAUGUCUACUUAAUGAAACACAAGUCUGAGACCUUUGAAAAGUUCAAGGAAUUUCAGAAUGAGGUGGAGAAUCAACGUGACCGAAAGAUAAAAUUCUUACGAUCAGAUCGUGGAGGAGAAUACUUAAGUCACGAAUUUGGUACACACUUAAAGAAAUGUGGAAUCGUUUCACAGCUCACGCCGCCUGGAACACCUCAGCGAAACGGUGUGUCCGAACGUCGUAAUCGCACUCUAUUGGAUAUGGUGCGGUCUAUGAUGUCUCUUACCGAUUUACCGCUAUCAUUUUGGGGAUACGCUCUAGAGACAGCUACAUUCACUUUAAAUAGGGCACCGUCUAAAUCCGUUGAGACGACACCGUAUGAAUUAUGGUUUGGAAAGAAACCUAAGCUGUCGUUUCUAAAAGUUUGGGGAUGCGUAGCUUAUGUCAAGAAACUUCAACCUGAAAAGCUCGAACCCAAGUCGGAAAAAUGCGUAUUCAUAGGAUACCCUAAGGAAACUGUAGGGUAUACCUUCUACUUAAGAUCCGAAGGCAAGAUCUUUGUUGCCAAGAACGGAUGUUUUCUGGAAAAAGAGUUUCUCUCGAAAGAAGUAAGUGGGAGGAAAGUAGAACUCGAUGAAGUACUACCUCUUGAGCGGGAUAGUGACGCAUCACAGGAAACCGUUCCUAUGAUGCCCACACCAACUGAAGAGGAAAACCAUGAUAAUGAUCAAGGUACUUCGGAUCAAGUUACUGCUGAACUUCGUAGGUCCACAAGGACACGUUCCGCACCAGAGUGGUACGGCAACCCUGUCCUGGAAAUCAUGUUGUUAGACAACAAUGAACCUUCGAACUAUGAAGAAGCAAUGGCGGGCCCGGAUUCCAACAAAUGGCUUGAAGCCAUGAAAUCCGAGAUAGAAUCCAUGUAUGAAAACAAAGUAUGGACUUUGACAGACUUGCCCGAUGAUCGGCGAGCGAUAGAAAACAAAUGGAUCUUUAAGAAGAAGACGGACGCGGAUGGUAAUGUUACCAUCUAUAAAGCUCGACUUGUCGCUAAGGGUUAUCGACAGGUUCAAGGGAUUGACUACGACGAGACAUUCUCUCCCGUAGCGAAGCUAAAGUCCGUCCGAAUCAUGUUAGCAAUUGCCGCAUACUAUGAUUAUGAGAUAUGGCAGAUGGACGUCAAAACAGCAUUCCUUAACGGGCAUCUUAAGGAAGAACUGUAUAUGAUGCAGCCGGAAGGUUUUGUCGAUCCUCUGAACGCUAACAAAGUAUGCAAGCUCCAGCGAUCCAUUUAUGGACUGGUGCAAGCAUCUCGGAGUUGGAACAUUCGCUUUGAUGAGAUGAUCAAAGCGUUUGGGUUUAUGCAGACUUAUGGAGAAGCCUGCGUUUACAAGAAAGUGAGUGGGAGCUCUGUAGCAUUUCUCAUAUUAUAUGUAGAUGACAUACUCCUGAUGGGAAAUAAUAUAGAAUUUCUGGACAGUAUUAAGGCCUACUUGAAUAAGUGUUUUUCAAUGAAGGACCUUGGAGAAGCUGCUUAUAUAUUAGGCAUCAAGAUCUAUAGAGAUAGAUCGAGACGCCUCAUAGGUCUUUCACAAAGCACAUACCUUGAUAAGAUUUUGAAGAGAUUCAGAAUGGAUCAGUCCAAGAAGGGGUUCUUGCCUAUAUUACAAGGUAUGAGACUGAGCUCAGCUCAGUCACCGACCACGGCAAAAGAUAAAGAAGAGAUGAGUGUCAUCCCCUAUGCUUCAGCCAUAGGAUCUAUUAUGUAUGCCAUGCUGUGUACCAGACCCGAUGUAAACCUUGCCGUAAGUUUGGUAGCUAGAUACCAAAGUAAUCCCGGCAAGGAACACUGGACAGCGGUCAAGAAUAUCCUGAAGUACCUGAAAAGGACAAAGGAUAUGUUUCUCGUUUAUGGAGGAGACGAAGAGCUCGUCGUAAAGGGUUACGUCGACGCUAGCUUCGAUUCAGAUCUGGAUGACUCUAAGUCACAAACCGGAUACGUGUAUAUGUUGAAUGGUGGAGCAGUAAGCUGGUGCAGCUACAAGCAGAGCGUCGUGGCGGGAUCUACGUGUGAAGCGGAGUACAUGGCAGCCUCGGAGGCAGCACAUGAAGCGAUUUGGGUGAAGGAGUUCAUCACCGAACUAGGAGUCAUACCCAAUGCGUCGGGGCCGAUCAAACUCUUCUGUGACAACACUGGAGCUAUUGCCCUCGCAAAGGAGCCCAGGUUUCACAAGAAGACCAGGCACAUCAAGCGUCGUUUCAACUCCAUCCGUGAAAAUGUUCAAGAUGGAGACAUAGAGAUUUGCAAAGUGAACACGGAUCUGAAUGUCGCAGAUCCGCUGACUAAACCUCUCUCGCGUGCAAAACAUGAUCAACACCAGAACUCUAUGGGUGUUCGAUUCAUCACAAUGUAACUAGAUUGGUGACUCUAGUGCAAGUGGGAGACUGUUGGAAAUAUGCCCUAGAGGCAAUAAUAAAAGUAUUAUUAUAUUUCAUUGUUCAUGAUAAUUGUCUUUUAUUCAUGCUAUAACUGUAUUAUCCGGAAAUCAUAAUACACGUGUGAAUACUUAGACCACACUAUGUCCCUGGUAAGCCUCUAGUUGACCAGCUCGUUGUGAUCAACAGAUAGUCAUGGUUUCCUGACUAUGGACAUUGGAUGUCGUUGAUAACGGGAUCACAUCAUUAGGAGAAUGAUGUGAUGGACAAGACCCAAUCCUAAGCAUAGCAUAAAAGAUCGUGUAGUUCGUUUUGCUAGAGCUUUGCAAGUGUCAAGUAUCUCUUCCUUCGACCAUGAGAUCGUGUAACUCCCGGAUACCGUAAGAGUGCCUUGGGUGUACCAAACGUCACAACGUAACUGGGUGACUAUAAAGGUGCAUUACAGGUAUCUCCGGAAGUAGCUGUUGGGUUGACACAGAUCGAGACUGGGAUUUGUCACUUCGUAUGACGGAGAGGUAUCUCUGGGCCCACUCGGUAAUGCAUCAUCAUAAUGAGCUCAAUGUGACCAAGGUGUUGGACACGGGAUCAUGCAUUACGGUACGAGUAAAGUGACUUGCCGGUAACGAGACUGAACAAGGUAUUGGGAUACCGACGAUCGAGUCUCGGGCAAGUAACGUACCGAUUGACAAAGGGAAUUGCAUACAGGGUUUGAUCGAAUCCUCGACAUAGUGGUUCAUCCGAUGACAACAUCGAGGAGCAUGUGGGAGCCAUCAUGGGUAUCCAGAUCCCGCUGAUGGUUAUUGACUGAGAGCGUCUCGGUCAUGUCUGCAGGUCUCCCGAACCCGUAGGGUCUACACACUUAAGGUUCGGUGACGCUAGGGUUAUGAAGAUAUGUAUAUGCAGAAACCCGAAUGUUGUUCGGAGUCCCAGAUGAGAUCUCGGACGUCACGAGGAGUUCCGGAAUGGUCCGGAGGUAAAGAAUUAUAUAUAGGAAGUGCUAUUUCGGGCAUCGGGACAAGUUCGGGGUUAUCGGUAUUGUACCGGGACCACCGGAAGGGUCCCGGGGGUCCACCGGGUGGGGCCACCUGUCCCGGGGGGGCCACAUGGGCUGUAGGGGGUGCGCCUUGGCCAUCAUGGGCCAAGGGCACCAGCCCCUAUAGGCCCAUGCGCCUAGGGUUUCCCCCUAGGAGGAGUCCUAGUGGUGGAAGGCACCCCUAGGUGCCUUGGGGGGGAGGGAAACCUCCCCUAGGCCGCCGCCCCCCCUAGUAGAUCUCAUCUACUAGGGCCGGCGCCCCCCCCUUGGUACCCCUAUAUAUAGUGGGGGGGAGAGGAGGAGAACACACCAGCCCCUGGCGCCUCCACCUCCCCCCGUUACGUCUCUCCCUCGUAGUCUCGGCGAAGCCCUGCUGCUGUGACGCCCUGCAUCCACCACCACGCCGUCGUGCUGCUGGAUCUUCAUCAACCUCUCCUUCCCCCUUGCUGGAUCAAGAAGGAGGAGACGUCUCCCGUCCCGUACGUGUGUUGAACGCGGAGGUGCCGUCCGUUCGGCGCCGGUCAUCGGUGAUUUGGAUCACGUCGAGUACGAUUACAUCAUCACCUUGCAAGCUUCCGCACGCGAUCUACAAGUGGUAUGUAGAUGCAAACUCUCUCCCUAGACUCGUUGCUUAGAUGAACUCAUAGAUGGAUCUUGGUGAAACCGUAGGAAAAAUUUUAAUUUUCUGCAACGUUCCCCAACACAUAUCCCUACAACCCUAGCGUCACCGAACCUUAAGUGUGUAGACCCUACGGGUUCGGGAGACAUGUAGACAUGACCGAGACGGCUCUCUGGUCAAUAAUCAACAGCGGGAUCUGGAUACCCAUGUUGGCUCCCACAUGCUCCUCGAUGAUCUCAUCAGAUGAACCAUGAUGUCGAGGAUUCAAGUAACCCCGUAUACAAUUCCCUUCGUCAAUCGGUAUGUUUCUUGCCUGAGAUUCGAUCGUCGGAAUCCCAAUACCUCGUUCAAUCUCGUUACUGGCAAGUCACUUUACUCGUACCGUAAUGCAUGAUCCCGUGACCAGACACUUGGUCACUUUGAGCUCAUUAUGAUGAUGCAUUACCGAGUGGGCCCAGUGAUACCUCUCCGUCAUACGGAGUGACAAAUCCCAGUCUUGAUCCCUGUCAACCCAACAGACACUUUCGGAGAUACCAGUAGUAUACCUUUAUAGUCACCCAGUCACGUUGUGACGUUUGGUACACCCAAAGCACUCCUACGGUAUCCGGGAGUUACACGAUCUCAUGGUCUAAGGAAAAGAUACUUGACAUUGGAAAACUCUAGCAAACGAACUAUACGAUCUUGUGCUAUGUUUAGGAUUGGGUCUUGUGCAUCACAUCAUUCUCCUAAUGAUGUGAUCUCGUUAUCAAUGACAUCCAAUGUCCAUAGUCAGGAAACCAUGACUAUCUGUUGAUCAACGAGCUAGUCAACUAGAUGCUUACUAGGGACAUGUUAGUGUCUAAGUAUUCACACAUGUAUUACGAUUUCCGGAUAACACAAUUAUAGCAUGAAUAAAAGACAAUUAUCAUGAACAAGGAAAUAUAAUAAUAAUGCUUUUAUUAUUGCCUCUAGGGCAUAUUUCCAACACUAUGGACUCAACAUUAGUCAUAAAGUACUCACAUGCUUAUUGCAAAAAUCUAUAAGUUAUCGAAACAAAGUAUUACGAGCAUGCUCCUAGGGGGAUAGAUUGGUAAGAAAAGACCAUCACUCGUCCCCGAUCGCCACUCGUAAGGAAGACAAUCAAUAAAUAAAUCAUGCUCCGACUUCGUCACAUAACGGUUCACCGUACGUGCAUGCUACGGGAAUCACAAACUUCAACACAAGUAUUUCUCAAAUACACAAGUACUCAACUAGCAUGAAUCUAAUAUCACCAUCUCCAUAUCUCAAAACAAUUAUCAAGUAUCAAACUUCUCAUAGUAUUCAAUGCACUUUCUAUGAAAGUUUUUAUAUUAUUCCUAAAAGAAAAUUUCCAUGUUUUCUAAAGGACUCUCAAAAUAAUAUAAGUGAAGCAUGAGAGAUCAAUUGUCUCUAUAAAAUAAUACCACCGUCGUGCUCUAAAUGAUAAAAGUGAAGCACUAGAGCAAAAACUAUAUAGCUUAAGAUAUAAGCGAAGCAUAUAGAGUAUUCUAAUAAAUUUCAAAUCAUGUGAGUCUCUCUCAAAAGUUGUGUACAGCAAGGAUGAUUGUGGUAAACUAAAAGGCAAAGACUCAAAUCAUACAGGACGGUCCAAGCAAAACACAUAUCAUGUGGUGAAUAAAAAUGUAGCUCCAAGUAAAGUUACCAAUAGACGAAGACGAAAGAGGGGAUGCCUUCCGGGGCAUCCCCAAGCUUAGGCUUUUUGGUGUCCUUGAAUUUUACCUUGGCAUGCCAUGGGCAUCCCCAAGCUUAGGCUCUUGCCACUCCUUGUUUCAUAAUCCAUCAAAUCUUUACCCAAAACUUGAAAACUUCACAACACAAAACUUAAAUAGAAAAUCUCGUGAGCUCCGUUAGCGAAAGAAAACAAAAUAACACUUCAAGGUACUGUAAUGAACUCAUUAUUGAUUUAUAUUGGUGUUAAACCUACUGUAUUACAACGUCUCUAUGUUUUAUAAACUCUUUUACUAGCCAUAGAUUCAUAAAAAUAAGCAAACAACACACGAAAAACAGAAUCUGUCAAAAACAGAACAGUCUGUAGUAAUCGGUAGCUAACGCAAACUUCUGGAACUCCAAAAAUUCUAAUAUAAAUUGCUGGACGUGAGGAAUUUAUCUAUUAAUCAUCUGCAAAAAGAAUUAACUAAAUAUCACUAUCCAAAUAAACAUGGCAGCAAUUCUCGUGAGCACUAAAAUUUCUGUUUUUUUACAGCAAGAUCAAAAAGACUUUCCCCAAGUCUUCCCAACGGUUCUACUUGGCACAAACACUAAUUAAACACAAAAAACCCAACCAAAAUAGAGGAUAGAUAAAUUAUUUAUUACUAAACAAGAGAAAAAAGCAAGGAAUAAAAAUAAAAUUGGGUUGCCUCCCAACAAGCGCUAUUGUUUAACGCCCGUAGCUAGGCAUAAAAGCAAGGAUAGAUCUAGGUAUUGCCAUAAUAAUAGGAUAGAUCAUGAAAACUCAUUUCAUAUUCUCUACGGUCAGAAGCAAGUUUUCUUUGAGGCAAGAAAAAGUAAUCAAAAGGGCUAAAUUUAAUGGGAUAGAAGUCCCCAAGAUCAAUUUCGGGAGGUAUAGGUUCCUCCUUUGGCCCUUCAUAUUGCACAACCAAUUCAUAAUUAUAAGCAUUAUUUUGACAAAACUUCGUGAGCCUAUACUCGAGAGAAUAUCCUAGCUCAUUAUUUCGAAUAGCAAAAUAAUUAUUAAGUAGAACAUUGGUAGGAACCUCUUUUCUAAGGUUCUCAUUAAAAGCAACAUAGUCUAAAGAUUGAAAACACAUUAUUUCCUCUUGAUCAAAGAGGAUUGCCUCUAUGGGAGGAUGGCCAGCGUCCACCCUAUAGUGCGCAAAGAUAUCUUUGGCCUCUUUUAUUAUAAAUCUAAACUCAUGAGCCAAAAAGAUAGUAGCGGCAUGCUUAACAGAAGAAUACUCAAUAUUAGAAAACUCUAAGAAAAUCCUUUGUAUGCAAGGAUGCAAGUGUAUAAAUUGCCUUUCAAGUUCAACUACAAGCAUGGGGAUAGCGUCUGCAAGACUACUAGUUCUAUGAAGAAUAGAACUAACCAUGGAAGGCAAAGCACCGGCACAAGUAAAGAAAUCUUGGAUAACUCCUUUUCCAAUAAUAUUACCACUACCGAUUCGGAAUUUUUUUGUAUGUAAGAUAAGGGGUUCUUCAGCAGGAGCAUCAGAAUUUUCCAUGUUAUUAUUAUUGUCCAUAUCGACAAUAAUUUCCCCAAUUUCAGACAUAAUGGCAGAAAGUGCGAGGAGAAAAAGAAAGAGGGAGGCGCAAAAUAGAGGGCGGAUAAAAUGGCAUUGGUGAAGUGGGGGAGGGGAAAAUGAGAGGCAAAUGGCAAAUAAUGUAAUGCGAGGGAUAAGAGUUUGUGAUGGGUACUUGGUAUGUCAUGACUUGUGCGUAGACUCCCCGACAACAGCGCCAGAAAUGGCUCGUUGUCGGGAGUCAAAUCUUUACUUGACUUGGCACGAAUCUCCCCGGCAACAUCGCCAGAAAUCCUUCUUGCUACCUCUUGAGCACUGUGUUGGUUUUCCCUUGAAGAGGAAAGGGUGAUAUAGUAUUUCCCUCAGUUUUUGAGAACCAAGGUAUCAAUCCAGUAGGAGAUAACGCUUGAGUCCCACGCACCUACACAAACAAAUAAGAACCUCGCAACCAACGCGAUAAAGGGGUUGUCAAUCCCUUCAGGGUCACUUACAAGAGUGAGAUUUGAUAGAUAUGAUAAGAUAAUAUUUUUAGUAUUUUUAUGAUAAAUAGAAAUAAAGAUGCAAAGUAAAAUAAACGUCAAUAGAAAUAGCUAAGUUUUGGAAGAUUAAUAUGAUGGAAGAUAGACCCGGGGGCCAUAGGUUUCACUAGUGGCUUCUCUCAAGAGCAUAAGUAUUAUGGUGGGUAACCGAAUUACUGUCGAGCAAUUGAUACAAUUGAGCAUAGUUAUGAGAAUAUCUAGGUAUGAUCAUGUAUAUAGGCAUCACAUCCGUGACAAGUAGACCGAAAUGAUUCUGCAUCUACUACUAUUACUCCACACGUCGACCGCUAUCCAGCAUUCAUCUAGAGUAUUAAGUUCAUAAGAACAGAGUAACGCCUUAAGCAGGACGACAUGAUGUACAGGGAUAAACUCAUGCAAUAUGAUAUAAACCUCAUCUUUUUUAUCCUCGAUGGCAACAAUACAAUACGUGUCAUUUCCCCUACUGUCACUGGGAUCGAGCAUCGCAAGAUUGAACCCAAAGCUAAGCACUUCUCCCAUCGCAAGAAAGAUCAAUCUAGUAGGCCACACCAAACUGAUAAUUUGAAGAGACUUGCAAAGAUAAACCAAUCAUACAUAAAAGAAUUCAGAGGAGAUUCAAAUAUUGUUCAUAGAUAAACUUGAUCAUAAACCAACAAUUCAUCAGAUCUCGACAAACACACCGCAAAAGAAGAUUACAUCAAAUAGAUCUCCAAGAAGAUCGAGGAGAACUUUGUAUUGAGAUCCAAAGAGAGAGAAGAAGCCAUCUAGCUAAUAACUAUGGACACGAAGGUCUGAAGUAAACUACUCACACAUCACCGGAGAGGCCAUGGAGUUGAUGUAGAGGCCCUCCGUGAUCGAUGCCCCCUCCGGCGGAGCUCCGGAAAAGGCCCCAAGAUGGGAUCUCUCGGGUACAGAAGGUUGCGGCGGUGGAAUUAGGUUUUCGUGGUGCUCCUGGAUGUUUGGGGGGUACGUGGAUAUAUAUAGGUUUUCUUGACACCCACUCCAAGUCUCCUGGAUCACGUUUGUUGAGAAAAUCACGUUCCCGAAGGUUUCAUUCUGUUUGGACUCCGUUUGAUAUUCCUUUUUGGCGAAAUUCUAAAAUAGGCAAAAAACAACAAUUUGGGCUGGGCCUCCGGUUUGUAGGUUAGUCCCAAAAAUGAUAUAAAAGUGUAAAAUAAAGCCCAUUAACAUCAAAAAUGGAUAAUAUAAUAGCAUGGAGCAAUCAAAAAAUAUAGAUACGUUGCAGACGUAUCACGCCCGCCGCCCCGACCCCGUCCCCGACCUCGACGCCGCGUGCCCCUCUACCUAACUCCGUCGGCGCCCGAGGUGAGCACGCCCUCCUCCUCAUCCGCUACUUCUGCAUAGCUAGGGUUCUUACGGUUAAAUUUCAGAGUUCAUCUAAUUAGUUAGGGCUCAUCAAAUUAGAUGCUAAUUAUGGCAGUAGUUGUUAAAUAGAAUUAGUUUUAGAGUUCAUCAAAUUAGUUAGGGUUAAAUUUUAGAGUUCAUCAAAUUAGUUAGGGUUGAAUUUUAGAGUUCAUCAAAUUAGUAAGGGUUCAUUAAAUUUUAGAGUUGAUAAAAUUAGUUAAAUUUUAGACUUCAUCUAACUAGUUUUUUACUGCUUUUUAAGUAAGUGUUUAAUAGAUAGUAAGAAAAUUAAUAUAACUUGUAGAACUAGUUUAUUUUUAGUAAAAACUAGUUUUUUAUUUAUAGUAAGUGCUUAAUUGAACUAGUUGAGUUAAUACAACUAUUUUAUUUUUAGUACGAAAAUUAAUAGAACUACUUACUUUUUUAGUUAAAGCAAUUAUUCCAGCAUUGACGUCGAUGAUGCCUAUCCCGCAUCCUCGUCGUCGAGUCGGCGGAGGACACCUGCGUCACCAGAUGGGCCAUGUCCGGGACUGGGCUCCGCCCGGGUGUUACUGGGAGGCGCUACCUACUGGGGGCACAGGUUGGUGAGGAGUCAGCCCGUCGUUGACCCGAACCUUCUUUGGUGGCGGUCGCGUGGGCCAGUGACGGUCCAGAGGCUCGAGGACCCCGCGGAGGUGGUGCGUCACCGUGUCAGUGAGGAGGACGCGCACGUCCGUCGCUACUUGUUUGCGUUGGACCACAGGUUCUCCAAUACCUGGCAGGUUCUCCAGGGAUCUCACUAGAGCUAUGAUCCUGUGAUGGUUCCUUCUCUGUGGGUGUCCACCACCCACACCGAUACCCAUCGUGCGCUAGGGUUUUAGUUAUAUUUGUGAUGUUAUAUGUAUGAUACUAUUUGAGAUGUAUUAGUGAUAAUAUUCUACGAUUUACGGAUGCAUGAGAUGAUUUACUUUUGCUUACUGAAUGCAUGCUAAUUUGAAUACUUAUUUAUUUUACGAUUUGGUUUUGCUUAUUGAAUGCUCAUGUCAAUAUGAGUCCUAUAAGAUAUUUUGAAAUGUAUAUCUUGUGUUGCUCAAAUAAGAUAUGUGCUUGCCCAAGUCGACGGUCAUGUUUGCAGGUUACACCUUCGAGUGGCCUAUGUUUUGCUGGAGUGUUGAUUCAUUUCCGUUCCGGCAAAUUUCAGGUGCUCGAUAUGUCCUAUUUUAGCAAAGGUCAUGCCGGAUUUUUCCGUGAAUUUUGGCAUGACUUGUGCCAGAAUAUGUAGGAAAUAUCGAGUGCCCCAGAUUUGUGUGUUGAGUAUCCUGGUAGUUACCUUCGAUCGAUUUUCAAUUGUGGAUAUAGUAAGUCACAACGACAAGUCUUUUUUCGUAAGUAAGCAUGACAUCUGCUUCAUUUGCUUAAACUUAUAAUUUAAACUUUUUACUAUUCUACUAGCGUAUCCCCUGCCAUGCAAGAGUUUUUGUCUUGGAUAAGAUAGGUUCCAGUCCUAUGAAAACUACUGUGGAGGUAAAGAUAGUUAACUUGAAGACCGAGCAUGGUUAUACUUUCCACGCAAAAUUAUACAACACAGACACCUACACCUAUUUUGAAUGCAAAACUUGGCAAGCACUAUGCAAGGCUUAUGCAUUUGAGCCUGAUAUGGUUAUCACCUUUGAUAUUCGUCCCGAAGAUGAUAUUGAAGGUAAUAUCGACAUCUGGGUCGAUGUGCAGACGCCUCCAGUUAUACCAUUUUGUGAGUUUCUCAACCAUAUUUAUGUCUUCGAUAUUGUUUAUUCAGAAAUAGUUGACAACUAAUUUCUAUUGACAUGUAUUUCCAUUCAAGCAAACAUGUCCGGCGCUUGGUAGACAUGACCGUACAUUGUCCUGGGCAGAACUAAACUGCGAGGAGAUAGGUCAUUAUGUUUCAUGGCUUGAGGAUCUUCAUACUAUCAAGACAAAUUAUUUUCCACGAUUAAAUAUCUUAGUACUCAAAACGUGCGACCAAUAGUGUUCGUACUGAACUACGGUAACAUCUAUUUAGGAAAGAUGGUAAGAUUUUUACUAUUUGUCCUCAGUGCAUCUUUUGCAUACAUUAUUUUUUAAGCUAAACUUCAUUGCUAAGUAUGUUACUAUACGAUGUUCUUCAACAGGGACUCCUGAUGAAUGUUGUGCCUCAUUAGAUCGAGACAAAAGGUUGCAUGAGAAUUGUUAGCUUAUGGCCAAGAUUUCCUACAGUGCACUUUGGUGCAUUCAGGAUUUCUAAUAGCGAGGAAUGCUUAAUAGUGAAAGACUGGAGCAAAAUUGUGAACGAUCGCAGAGAAGUACUAGGGGGCAGCAAUCAGAAGCGCAGCCCACGAUUAGGAGACAGGUUCAUCUGCAUGCUCCAACUUGAUGAAGCAGGAGUGCUACACAUCUUUUAUGUUAUUUUAGCUGAGAGAGAGCAGCAUGAGUGAUUAGCUAGCUAGAAAUGAGUUAUGACAAUUAAAUAGCUAGUGUUGGUGGUAAUAACCAUGAUGAUUAUUAUUAGCUAGUGUUGGUGGUGAUUAGAUAGCUACUGUAGCUAGUGUUGGUGGUGAUUAGCUAGCUAGAAUGAGUUUGAAGAUGAUGAUGUGUGCUACACUAUAACUAUGAUGAUUAAAUAGCUACUGUUGUUGGGAAUGACUAUGAUGAUGAUUAAAUAGCUUGUGUUGGCGGAUUAGAUUCAAGUGGAGGCAACAUGUGGUGCACAUCGAAAGUACUACUAGUCCAAACUAGAUCAAGUUUGGAUUAGUAGUAUACUUUUGACAUGCACCACAUGUUCCCUCCACUUAAACCUAAUCCACCUUCAUUUGACACACUGUUAUGGACAUAUUGAUAUAACAACCUCAUAAUUGGUAUUGUACCAAAAUUUGUAUAACGGCGUAUAAAAUACACUAAAAAUUAAAAAAAUGAGAAAAAGAAUAUUGGUAGCGAUGCAGAGUAAACACACUACAACUAGCUAUAUUAGCAGUAGCGCUGGAGUGAACAAACGCUGCUGCUAUAUGUCUUAGCAGUAGUGCGCGUAGCACGCGCUACUACUAAGGAAUAGCUGUAGCGCCUUAUCAGUAGCGCGUCCUCCCGCGCUACUGAUAGGCAAAAUACCCGCGCUACUGCUAGGGUUUCCCUAGUAGUGACAUACCUUGAUAAAGUUUUGAAGAAGUUCAAAAUGGAUCAGUCAAAGAAAGGGUUCUUGCCUGUGUUACAAGGUGUGAAGUUGAGUCAGACUCAAUGCCCGACCACUGCAGAAGAUAGAGAGAAAAUGAAAGUCAUUCCCUAUGCCUCAGCCAUAGGUUAUAUCAUGUGUGCAAUGUUGUGUACCAGACCUGAUGUGUGCCUUGCUAUAAGUCUAACAGGGAGGUACCAAAGUGAUUCAGGAGUGGAUCACUGGACAGCUGUCAAGAACAUCCUAAAAUACCUGAAAAGGACUAAGGUUAUGUUUCUCAUUUAUGGAGGUAACAAAGAGCUUGUCAUAAAUGGUUACGUCGAUGCAAGCUUUGACACUGAUCCGGAUGACUCUAAGUCACAAACUGGAUACGUAUUUAUAUUGAAUGGUGGAGCUGUCAGUUGGUGCAGUUCCAAGCAGAGCGUCGUGGCGGGAUCUACAUGUGAAGUGGAGUACAUAGCUUCUUCGGAAGCAGCAAAUGAAGGAGUCUGGAUGAAGGAGUUCAUAUCUGAUCUAGGUGUAAUACCUAGUGCAUCAGGUCUAAUGAAAAUAUUUUGUGACAAUACUGGAGCAAUUGCCUUGGCAAAGGAAUCCAGAUUUCACAAGAGAACCAAACACAUCAAGAGAUGCUUCAAUUCCAUCCGCGAUCAAGUCAAGGAGGGAGACAUAGAGACUUGCAAAAUACAUACGGAUCUGAAUAUUGCAGACCCGUUGACUAAGCAUCUUCCACGAGCAAAACAUGAUCAACACCAAGACUCUAGGGGUGUUAGAAUCAUUACUAUGUAAUCUAGAUUAUUGACUCUAGUGCAAGUGGGAGACUGAAGGAAAUAUGCCCUAGAGGCAAUAAUAAAGAUGUUAAUUAUAUUUACUUAUAUCAUGAUAAAUUUUUAUUAUUCAUGCUAGAAUUGUAUUAACCAGAAACUUAGUACAUGUGUGAAUACAUAGACAAACAGAGUGUCCCUAGUAUGCCUCUACUUGACUAGCUCAUUUAUCAAAGAUGGUUAAGUUUCCUGACCAUACACAUUGUUGUCAUUUGAUGAACGGGAUCACAUCAUUAGAGAAUGAUGUGAUGGACAAGACCCAUCCGUUAUCUUAGCAUUAUAAUCAUUUAGUUUUAUUGUUAUUGCUUUUUUCAUGACUUAUACAUAUUCCUCUGCCUAUGAGAUUAUGCAAGUCCCGAAUAUCGGAGGAACACCUUGUCUGCUAUCAAACGUCACAACGUUACUGGGUGAUUAUAAAUACGCUCUACAGGUGUCUUCGAAGGUGUUUGUUGAGUUGGCAUAGAUCAAGAUUAGGAUUAGUCACCGCGCGUACCAAAGUGGUAUAUCUGUCCCCUCUCGGUAAUGCACAUCACUAUAAGCCUUGCAAGCAUUGUAACUAAUGAAUUAGUUGCGGGAUGAUGCAUUACGGAACGAGUAAAGAGACUUUUCCGUAACGAGAUUGAACUAGGUAUGAUGAUACGGAUGAUCGAAUCUCGAGCAAGUAGCAUACCGAUGACAAAGGGAAUAACGUAUGUUAUUAUGUGGUUUGACCGAUAAAGAUCUUUGUAGAAUAUCUAGGAACCAAUAUGAGCAUCCAGGUUCCGCUAUUGGUUAUUGACCGGAGAUGUGUCUCGGUCAUGUCUACAUAGUUCUCGAACCCGUAGGGUCCGCAUGCUUAACGUUCGAUGAUGAUUUCUAUUAUGCGUUAUGUGUUUUGCUGACCGAAGUUUGGUCGGAAUCCCGAAUAAGAUCACGGACAUGAUGAGGAGUCUCGAAAUGGCCGAGAGGUAAAGAUCCAUAUAUGGUAAGGUUAUAUACGGACACUGAAAUGGUUCCGAAGAGGUUUGCGGAUUUUUCGGAGUACCGAGAUGUUACCGGAACCCCCCGGGAAAGUUAAUGGUCCUAAUGGGCCACUACUAGGGAAAAGCCUACCAGCAGCGAGGGUUUUGGGCCUCUCAGUAGCGCGGGCACCGGCGCUACUAAUAAGGUGCUCCAGCUAACGUAUAGCAGUAGCGCCGGUUGUCCCACGCUAUUGCUAUACAUGAAUAGUUGUAGCGCUCUUUGGGAAAGGGCGCUACUGAUAUUAUCUGCAGCGCUGUUUGCUGGGACGCGCUACUGACAAUGCGGCGCUACUGCUAAAUUUUCCCCCUCGCUACUACUAGUUUAUUUAUUAGUUUUUUUCCUGCAUAUUUGUUUUGUAUUUGUUUUGUAUUUGAAUAGGCUUUAUACAAUUAUCUUUAGCAUAUCAUACACAUACAAAUGUAAUCAUAGCAUAUACAUACAAUUAGUCUCAUCAAAUCAUGUCAUCAUCAUAAUCAUCAUCCAACACAAAGUGGUCUCUUGUCAUCAUCUCGAAAAUAGCGAUACAAGUCUCGAAUGAUAUGCAAAUACAUCGUCAUCCAUCUAAACAAUGAUAUACGUGAGAAGAGCUAUCACUUUGAGAACAUGAGUUCGUAUCCCUCUUUCGCCUUAGCGUGAACCUCUAAACUAACUACUGCCUGUCGCUCGGAAACCGGAAGGACCUGACACUCCGGCCACUUGUCGUAUAUAUACUCCUGGCAUAGCACUUCUUCGCCAUCUAUGAUCUAUGCACCUGCAUCAUCACAUGAGUCGAUGAUAUGCAACAUAUAUAGUUGAGUAACAGAAAGAGACAGACUUGGCAAAAAUAAAAACAACAUAUCAUAAGCAUAAAUAACAAAGUUCAUGGUACCCCAAAAUGCCCUAACUAGAGUGAUUUUCGCUAGUCGAGGAGGAGGAUGGUUUAAUUACAUCACAAAUAAAGUUUCACCGUGCAUAACUCAAAGUUUUGUCAUACAGAAAGUAUGGACUAAACGGACACAUUGUCAUAUAUCGACAAUCACUCCAACAUGUUGUUCCAUCCAUCCAAGUCAGGGAGAUAGUCCCCGAGCCUAGUGAAAGGCUUCAGGUCGAGAUGCUGAGAGGCUAUCCAUGUUCGGACGUCUUCCCGCGACAUUUGUCCUUCUCCGUAGAACAUCCCUGUUUUUCCGACGACCUCAUUCAUGAUGAUUUGGGCAAGUUCGCGCUGGAUGUUAUAGAACUCAGCUCGAAGUCGAUGAUCCUCGAUAUCUCCUAUGUCCUUUGCCCAUUGCAGAAUAUGGGCAUCGUCGGAAGAAGGUGCCAUGCGAAGGUUCUGGUGAUCCCGUCUGUACUCUAGCAUGUGGUGUAGGACAUAGAAUCCAUCAUUAAGAGAAUCGUCCGAUUGCUGGAUGCAGCAGAAGUUGGUCUUAUGGCCGAAGGCGACCCUGCCGCCCCUCAUCUUCUUGUCCCUGACCUCUCCACCCAGUGAUUGGUAGUGAUACAUAGCACUGUCAAGAACAUCCUUGAUGUGGGUGUAAUCCUUUUUGUGAAUGUUCUUCGACGUGUCCAAGUAAAGAGCGUGGGAGAAUCGGGGGUAGAGGAUGAUGAGGAUGGCGCGCCCGCCGCUGCGCAAAAUAAGUCCUCAAAUUAAUUAGCCUCCACCGUGCAAAUGAACGAUUGAAAUCGAAGGAAGGAUAGAAGCGCGGAUGACUUACACGGGAUGAUAAGGCACGAGAAUCGCCCCCUUGUCCUUAUUGGUGAGCAUGAAACUGACGAUGUAAUCCCUCGCGUAUUCACGGUGAUUUGCGCAGACUCCCAAGAAGCCCUCGUGCAUGUAGUACGGGUCAGUGACACAGAUAUGAGAUAUCUACUCAACCCCGAUGAUGUAGUUCAUGUGCAAGGCAUAAAGGCGGGCAAACGUAAAAUCCAGCUUCUUCACGUGAAACAUGUCGAAUAUGUAAUCGAAUCGGAGGAAGAACUUAUCCGCGGGGAAGCUGUCGACGUACGACAUUUGCCGCGGAACGUUAACCACGUAGAGUGGGUAUCCUGGAUCUUUCGAGGUGAUGAGGUCUUUCUCUACCCGCAGCACAUCGUCAUGAAGUCUCUUUAGAUCGCCGAAUCUGGCCCGUAGCGCUGUUGCAGGUAGGAUUGGUUGACCGCGGAUAUGCCAUUUAUCCGCACUGGGGAUAUCUAUACGGUCCUGAAGCCAAGGCUGGUGAGGCGGCUGGAUCAUAGAAACAUCUUUUUUUUCCUUUCCUCGCUCUCUUCAUAAACUUCUUUACUACCGGAAGGUCGUCCAUAAUAUGUUGAGACGGCAAUUCAGGCACCGACUCAUGACGCUCAAACCCUGAGGAGGCGCCAGUAUAGACAUACUGUUCAGCAGCGCCAUCGUCGUCCUCAUCCUCAUCCAUGGCGACGUCAUCAGCGACUAAUGGAGCCUCCUCCUUACCCCGUCCGCUAUCACCCAACCUGACACCCGACGAUAAUUGGGUAGGUGGGGUGUUGAUGUUCAUACCUUGUUGAGGCUGCGUGCUCGUGGGUGUGCUCCCGGCCGCCUCCAGACGAAGCAGACUCUUUGGCCACAACAGGACCCACCCAGCAUUGCAACAAUCACCAAGCCGCCGCGGUGUCUCGUUGUCAUCCCCCAGUAGUACUGGAGGAGGCAAAUUCUCGUGGCCCGGUUUGACAGUGGCCAGGGAAACCUUGAAGACGUUCGGGGGGAUCGGCCGGUUGUGGAACAAUGGUUCCUUCGGCUCCAUUAUCGUCGCCUUCCCCACGUCCACCUUCUGGUCACCGAUGGUGUACAAUAUGGUGCACGGGGUUUCGUCGGCCUGCAAAGAAAAGUCUGCGACGUGAGACAUCCGAAAGGCAACGAAAACGGAAGAUUAUACAUUUAUAUUGAAGGGGGCCGGUGUGACAGAUACCGUGAGGGCAUCGAGCUCAGCCAAAGACGAAGCACCGCCUAGCACGUCCGGUGCGGGAGCCGGUGCGGGAGCAGGUGCAGCUGCAGGUGCUGGUGCAACGCUAGUCGAGCUGCUCCCCGCCAAGAAGUCAGCAAGGGGAAAGUCCGCUGCAUCUUUUUUGGAUUUUGCCUGGUCCAAUUGAAAACGGCCGGAACCAAGGUAGUAUAAAUAUCUAAAGCCACCUGUUUUGCGGCAGCUACCGCUGUUGCGACUGUCUCAGUUGAUUUCUUCUCAACCGCAAUCUCAACCCUCUUGUCGAUGUUUUCUUCAUUUAACCUCCGUCUUUCCUUUCUCUCCUCCGUGGUCUCACGGUAGUACUUCUUCCACGUGGCGCCGUCUCCGACACCGUGCACGCGUCCAUACGAUGGUCGAGUAUCCACCGGUUGUUGUUUCAAUAUGUUCAACGCCCGGUUGAAUGGAGUGUCCCACUUGGGCCUCGCCAAUGCCUCAGACAGCGAGUCGCUUUCGGCCGCAAUCCUGUGCUGCUCUCUCUGCAAAAGGCACAAUGAUCGUUUACAAAUAUGACUAACGUGUGCAGUCGAAUUGAUCAGAAACUAAAAUUACCAGUAGUCUCAUGAACUCCGUAAUGACCGGUGUUGUCUCGUAAACCAUUUUCACUGGGUCUCAACGGUGCCGGGCCCUGAGGACGUCACGCUCCUGCGGGACGGUGAACUCCGCCAAGGGGUCUAGGAUGCACAGACUCGCGGCUUCCACGUCCUCCUUGGCCCAUUUGGACCUCUUUCCGCCGUAACCAUGGCUUCCGAGGUGGUGGCUCCCAAUGUUCCUCUCUUGAAGCCCCUUCAUGUACUUAGACUUUUUAUGGCAUCUUCGGCCUCGCAAGCCUCCUUGAAUAUUUGAAACUGCUCUUCCGUGAUUGUCGGAUUAUCCUUUACACUCUCGGAGUGGGGUUCCUUCUUGUCGAUGAUCCUUGCUUUCACUCGAUUUUUCCAGGCGGCCAAUGCAUCGCUAAACUUGGUCAUGGCGUGUUUGUUUAUCUUCUUCAUUGCCGGGUCCUCAUCUGGAUCUUUAUAAUCCUUCUCAUUCCGGCCCGGGAACAAGAAUAUCUGGUGAAACUUCUUUAGGAGGGAGCUCCUCAUAUUUUCUAUCUUCUGUAGUUUCUCAUCGUUGAUGGUGGCGGUUGUCCAUACGAUGCAGCCUAUUUGAUUGCCAUAGCAUCUACGCGCUUCCUCGGGCGCCGUUGGCUCAAAAUUGCCGUCGUCCACCUCCGUGACCACCACUCUAGUAGUCCUGAGUUUGUUAGGAACCCGUUGCCUGUUUGCUUUCGGUUCUACACUAGCUCCGCUCCCCGAGACAGCGCCGGUCUCAGUCUCAGCGCCGGUCUCGAUGUCGGUCUGAGUCUGAGCGCUGGUCUCAGUCUCAGCACCGGUCUGCGUGUCGGUCUUAGUCCCCGAUGCCACCGGUGGGCCCAACAAUAACAUCGGUUGAUCAUCGGUAAGGCUAAAAAAUUCGUUUGUCGCCCGGUAGGCGUCGUCGCAAUCACCAGAACCCUGUCCUUCAUCGUUGCUAGCCAUGUUUCCUAUAAUUAAAUCUAGUCAAUUAAUUCUAGACCUAAUAAAAUGAAUAAUGACAUAAAAAAGGCCUAUUGUUUUGCAGGAAUGUUGACUCCUUCCUGGUGCGGCAAAUCACGGGCACUCGAUAUGUCCUAGUUUGUAGCACAAGUCAUGCCGAAAUUCACGAAAAAAUUCGGCAUGAGCUUUGCUAAAAAGUGGACAAAUCGAGAACCUGAAAUUUGCCGGAAAAGUAAUGAAUCAACAUUCCGGCAAAACAUAGGCUACUAAGCAUCAUUCCCUGCAAACAGUGUCCAAAUAUACACGAGCAACCACAUGUGCAAACAGUGUAGAAGAAAAUUCAUUUAACUACUAAUAGAACAAAAUUCAGUUAACUUUAGUGCUCUAUAAUGAUGAAAGGAAAAAAAAUUCAGUUAACUACUAAUUUCAUUCAUUUAGGUUAUUCAUUUAACGUCACCUAAUUAACCUACUGUACCAAUACUACUAGCAGCACUACUAACCUAAUUAACCUAGCAAAACUCUAGUGCCCUAACUGAAAAACAUCUAAUUAACAUCUAAUUUUUUUCUCCAAAAUACAGAGAGAGAUGAGUGAGGGGGGGUGGGGGACUUACAGAGAGGGGAGAGACGGUGGCGGGGNNNNNNNNNNNNNNNNNNNNNNNNNNNNNNNNNNNNNNNNNNNNNNNNNNNNNNNNNNNNNNNNNNNNNNNNNNNNNNNNNNNNNNNNNNNNNNNNNNNNNNNNNNNNNNNNNNNNNNNNNNNNNNNNNNNNNNNNNNNNNNNNNNNNNNNNNNNNNNNNNNNNNNNNNNNNNNNNNNNNNNNNNNNNNNNNNNNNNNNNNNNNNNNNNNNNNNNNNNNNNNNNNNNNNNNNNNNNNNNNNNNNNNNAGGGCUGGCUCGGGCACGGGCAAGGGCGGUCCUGGGCGGGCUCGGGCGGCGUUGAGGUGGAGGGCGCCGACGGUGACGUGGAGGGCGGCCUUGGGCGGCGUCUGUGAGGCGGAGGGCGGCCUCAGGCGGCGGCGGUGAGGCUGAGGGCGGCCUCGGGCGGCGGCGGUGAGGCUGAGGGCGGCCUCGGGCGGCGGCGGUGAGGCUGAGGGCGGCCUCGGGCGGCGGCGGUGAGGAGACGGCGGCGAGGGUGAGGGACGAUUUGGGGAAGAAUUGGUGGCCGGGGGCGGGGUGGGGGAAACCGUUGUUUAAGUGAAACGUAACGGUAGCGCGUUUCCGGAAACGCGCUAUAGCUAAGUUAGCUAUAGCGCGUUUACUGAAACCCGCUACUGCUAUUCCUUUCUCCUUUUUUCCCUUUUUUCUUUUAUUUUCUUUACAUUUUAUUUUUCCCUUUCUCCUUUUUCUAUUUCUUUCAUUUUUAUUUACUUUUCUACUUGUUUUUAAUUUUAUUUUAUUUCCGUUAGCAGCAGCGCUUUACACGUAAGCGCGCUGCAGCUAAGGAGAUUAGCAGUAGCGCUGGGCCAUUAUACGCGCUACUGCUAGGUUGGGCUAGCCAUGUGCGCCCAGUUCAAACGUAGCAGCAGCGCUUUUCGCUAGUACGCGCUACUGCUAAAGUCAUAGCAGUGGCGCGGUUUAUUUACGCGGGCUGCUACUAAGUAGCAGCAGCGCUUGAUUUUGUACAGCGCUACUGGUAAAAUUCUGUGUAUAGGUUUUUCCCUAGUAGUGGGCCUUAGUGGUGGAGAGGAGGUAGGCCAUGGGAGGUGGCGCACUCCCCCCAUCCCCAGUCCGAAUUGGACAAAGGGAGGGGGCGCCUCCCCUUUCCUUCUCCCUCUCCCUCCUUUCCUCUCUCCCCUCUCCGUUGGAAGGAAGGGGGCGAAUCCUACUAGGAGUAGGACACCCCCAAGGCGCGCCUCUCUCUGGCCGGCCACCUCCUCCCCCUCUCCUUUAUAUAACGGGGCAGGGGGCACACCAAGAUUUCUCUUAGCCAUGUGUGGUGCCCCCUCCACAGUUUACUCCUCCGGUCAUAGCGUCGUAGUGCAUAGGCGAACCCCUGCGUGGAUCACAUCACCAUCACCGUCACCACGCCGUCGUGCUGUCGGAACUCUCCCUCGAUCCUCUACUGGAUCAAGAGCUCGAGGGACAUCAUCGAGCUGAACAUGUGCUGAACAUGGAGGUGUCGUACAUUCGGUACUUGGAUCGGUUGGAUCGUGAAGACGUUCGACUACAUCAACCGCGUUAACCUAAUGCUUCCGCUUUCGGUCUACGAGGGUACGUGGACAGACUCUCCCCCUCUCGUUGCUAUGCAUCUCCUAGAUAGAUCUUGCGUGAUCAUAGGAUUUUUUUUUAAAAUUGCAUGCUACGUUCCUCGACAAACGCCACCGUCCACGCCUGUCUUCAUCAUGUUGUCUGGUUCUUCCUCGCCUACUUCGAGCAUCACCGCCGCACUCCUAACCUAGCUACCACCAUCGUUGUCAGGCCUCGGCCGCCACUCUUCUUCUGUGCUGCGCCGCUUGUCCAGCCCUUUCGUCUUCGUCCCGCACUAGCUCGUCGCCAGCGUCGCCGCCAUCUUCCCCGACCACUUUGUCUACUCCGAGCACCGCUGGCGACAUCGGUCCCAUGUCAAUUGGCGUUGCAACCAUCAUCGAGUCCUCCUCUUCUUGCCCGUUCCACUUCUCCGGCAUGGCGUACAACUCAUGCAGGUCCCUGUCUAUGCAUGCUCGGUGCUGACAACACCAACGCGUGCCUUCGUCCCCGAUGUGCUCCCAGGCAUGGUAAGCCUGGAGCAGCGCAUCGCCAACAUCGACUUCGUCCGUCUACGCAUGCCCGGUGCUGGCACCACCGAUGCGUGCCUUCGUCCAUGAUGUGUUCCCAGGCUUGGAAAAUCCGGCGCGACGCCUUGUUAACAACGUCUUCUUCCCGGCGCACCACUACGCCUAUAACUAACUCAGCGCCUCCUUGCGCCCGCCGCUCCCCGGCGACUUCCUCGACACCGGCCACCCCGACUCGGCAUCGACCACCGCGUUCUUCGCACGGCUAGCUCGACCAUGGAUCCACCCUAUGCUCUCGGGUACCUCGACAACGACAUAAAGGGCUACCGCCUUGCUUGAGAAAUCUCGUCGGUUUCUACUCCAGACACGACUUCCGUGAUGCAUCGACUGUUACGACUGUGUGUGUGGGAGGGGGUGUCCGUCGGCUUACCUUGAGAUUUUUCUUAAGUCUCACCGUAUGCGUUGCUCCCGUUGUGAAUGCAGGGGAUGUUGAAUAUCGUGAUUAGAUUGGAAACACAUGAUAGACUAGGAAGUAUUCUAACUUGUCUUUGUAUUCCAAGAAGAUCAUGUACUUUUAUAUAUAUGCCCACGAGGCUAAAGCAAUAAACAUCGAUUCCACCAAUCCCUCUUUUUCUAAGAACAUCCAUAUUUUGUCUCAAAAAAAACCUCCACAUUUAUAUUUAUUAUAAAUAAAUGUAAGUAGGAGUGAUAUAAUUCGGUACUGAUCAAUCAGUGCAGGGAGAAAAAAUGCCACAACCGGCGUAGGCAAACAUGCCUACACAAAAAGCAUAAUAUUGGAUCAUCUAUCCUACGUGAAAUGUUAUAUAUUUUUAAACAAAGAUAAAAUAUUUGCCUCAUCUAUUAAGUAAGAAAAGAAUGAUGGAAGGGGCGUUUUGGUGGAUGAACGGUACCGCAAAAAAAGAUGUCAAAUGUUUCCAAAAAAUUCUGAAUUUUUUUGUGGAUGUUCGUGUUAGUGUCACAAGUAUGCUUGACAAUUUUCAUGUGAAAUAGAGUAGUAGUGUUUCGUUGCUGAAAAAACCAAAUUUGGGGUGAUACUUUGGGGCAAAUUUGAUUUUUUGCAUAGACCAAAAUGUUUAACCUCUUUGCCUAAAACUUUGCAUGUAGCAUUUGGAUGUGACUAUAAAUACAUAAAAUAAUUGUUGAGAUUAUUUUGACAUUUGAAAAAUUAUUUUUCACAUGCAGGAGCACGUGCUCCCAGAAGCCAAAUUGAAUUUCCGAAGAAUGACUAAAAAAGGUAAAAUGAGAAUAGAGUGCGUGUUACAAGCCCCAAAUUACAAAAAGAUUACUCUCAAGCCCCAAAUCUACGUGACUUUUUAUAUGACAUCAACCUUAUAGAUCGUAAAAGAUUUUAGUACAUUAUUCGGACAGAUGAUCGAAUUUAUUUUCCUAAAAAAACGUGCUCAACUUUAUCCAAGCGCAUAUUCGUAUACGCCCUCGGGACAAAAAUAUAUGAUAUUUUUACAAUUUAAACGAACUAAAAACAUUUUCUCUUCAUGAAGGCGUUGCUGUUGAAGAAUCUCGUUGUCCUUGUGGUGUAAUGAGAUGGUUGGUGCUGACAUGAUUACUAUUGUAGAUUGUCGGGUGUGGAUUUGAUCUUUUCAGAUUUUUUUUCAUGCUUAGACAUAGCUUUGGUCUUAUAUGACUUUGCUAUUUGCUCGCUGUUUUGUGUGUGUAGAAGUUGGUGUUAGUUAUGUGCGUCUUAACUAUGCAGAGGCCGAAUGUGUGCUUAUUUUAAUUGUAUUCACUUAAUGCUUUAUUUUGUGUAAUAAAAUUCACACUUUAACGAAAAAGGGGGGCCGACCCCGCCAAACAAAGGAUCAGGCGCUGGCGGAAUUGGAUCGCCGACUGGUUGGCCGUAAACUGGUUGGCCGUACAAAGGGGGGCCGUACAUUAUUCUGGCCUAUUGUAGAUCCAUUAGUAUAGUGCGUAAUAAACCGUGUUCUGCUGAAGCCUGAAAGAUGGUAUAAUGUUCAGCGAGAGGGUAUAAUUAUCUGAUGAUGUAUGUAAUAAUGUGGCCAUGUUCUCCAUCUUGUCAUCUUUCCAGCGAUCGUGAAAUAAUAACCAGCUCUUGUACAACUUUGCUUCAAGUCCAGUCACUCAUGACUCAUCUCACUUUUUUCUUGUUUGCGAUUACAGUUUGACACGCGUCAGAUCAUUGCAAAGACCGAGAUAACACUAGACUACUAGUACAUUCUGUCGACCCCCCCUACUACUAUCCUCUGUUCUGUCGCCAAAGGCCACCUGACCUCACACUCUAAAUCUUUUGAGACAGUUUAUUGGAUGCCUUGGCAAAUAAGGAUGGAAAAUUUAGCAGUUUUGAAACUAGCUUUCUGUACUAGUGGAGCCCCCCUGGUUAGGUUGGAGGUGUUUCUCGAGACCGGAGACACCUCGACAUUUUUCUCGGUCGCGAGUUAAUAUACAUUCAUAUCACAUCCGCGUGUAAGAGUGCAUGUGAAAUAUUCCAAAGAACGAAAACAUAUGUAGAAUAUACAAAAGUUCCUCUUGUUGGGCAGGAUUUAAGACUGUAAACCUAUGUGUGUCGAAUUUGUUACGCAAGAGCUCCUACAGCCAGAGCUCCCAUAUCCAUCCUAAACUUCUCAAAUUGCUUAACUAGAUCCCUCCGAGUUACUAUGGUAGCGUCUAAAGGCAAUUGAUAGUAAAAAUAUGUCAGUAAUUAAUUGUCUACCUACCAUCGGGCAGAUGAUCAGUGUGACACCUAUGCCGUAUCUUCAACAAGAUCAUUAAGCUGCUGGGUGACACCAACCUAUGCAAAGUAGCAUAGCAUGGCACUCCCAGAAAAAACCUUAUACACAGAAACUUAUCAGUAGUGCGGUCUAUGAGGGGAUGCUACUGCUAAUUAGUAGUAGCGAGGGGUAUAAAACCCGCGCUGCUACUAAGUGGUCUCCACCAUGUCCCCGGGAUAGGCUAUAGUAGUAGCGAGUGGUAUAAAACCUGCGCUACUACUAAGUAAGUAGCUAUAGCGCAGGUAAGAUCCCCACACUACUACUAAGCGUGUCCACUACUGCACCAUCCACUCCGGCAUGAUCCACUCCCACCACAUCACACUCUCUCUAUCUCAUCCCUAAAAAAACUCUCUCAUGAACUCACUUGUUCCUUGGUCCACCCCACCCCGGCUUCUCUCCCCACGAUCUCCUCGCCGCCGCCACCACCCAUGCCGGCCGGUUCCGGCGAGCACCGGCCGCGCGCAACACUCCCCCAAGCUCCGUCCCUCCCUCCCCUCCGUCCAGAUCCGUGCCUCAAGGCAUGCACCCUUGCCCCAAGCUAGGGUUUCAGGCGCCUCCCGUGUUCUUGCCUGAAUCCACCACAAUCGGCGAUGGCGAGGCCAGAGCUUGCGAAGACCGCAAUUGUCGGGUCUACCUACCGGAUUCAGUUUUCAAUUUACUUUUUGAGAAUAGUAUAUUUAGUGUCACUAGUACAGACAUGCUCUACAAGUACUUAUCUCUUUCUGGAUCUUCCUUUUAAGAAGUUUCGGGCAUUGCCUGAUCAAUUUUACCGAACUCCUGAACACCAUAGAUUUGUGCGGCAACAGGCGGUGAAUCAGGUUAGUAUUGUGAAUUCAGGCAUUCCACCCCCUCUCAUAGUAAAUUCAGUGUUAUAUUAACACUGACCCCCUUGCAUAAACACCGGUGCAGCACAGUCGUAUGUACAAGAAGCAGAGCGCAUCAGUUCAUGCUCAAGCCCCGAAGAAGGUAGCAAUGCGCGCGGCUGCCAGGGAUGCUCACUAGAACGCGUAGAUGAUUUUUCUUGUCUUGACGGCAAAGUCGGCAAAAGACUGAUUGACAUGGUUCAUGUCCCUGUAAGUAGCACUGCUCGCUUUCUACCGAUCCAAGUUCAUAUAUCCAAUAUAACAGAAUAAUUUGCUAGAAUGGUUGGGACCAAGGUUGUCAGAAUCGCGAUUCUGUUAUACGAUUCUAUGACUUUACGAUCCAAACUAACCCCUCUGAUUCUACGAUUUUAGUUCAUAGAAUCUACGUUUUUACGAUCCUGAUAGUGAAGGUUCUACGAUUUGCGAUCCUACCAUCUGAGCUCCGAUCUGAUUCAAAAUCAUGAUCCUGACAACCUUGGUUGGGACAUAUGCUAAAAUUUAUUCACUACAUCAAGGGGUUAAGCACAAUGGUUUUGAGUUUCUACAGUUCCAAGGGGAUUCAGAGUUCCACCUCUGAGUAUUUGGGUCUUAUGUAACCAUGCUCUGAGAUUUAGAUGUGUUGGGGAAUGGGGAUUGCUAGUUCCUGCUGGGUAAUCAGAAUAAUGUUUGGGUUUUCCUCAAGGAUGGCGGACACUAUUUACAGUAUGUUAAAUGCAGACAAUGUUGUUGAUUUAUGAGAAUUAUUUAUUUACCUAGUGGAUCCUCAAUUGUAUAUAUGUCCCUCUCAAUGCAAAUGUUGAGCCAUGUUCCACUUUUACUGUUCUAGAUUAUAUUUUCAAUGCCUGAAUGGGUUAGUAUGCUCCUUGUCUUUUUCACUGAUUGUAUUUUUCAUCGACAUACACCGCAUUAUUUUUCAGUGUCAUUCUUCUGAAGAAUCUGAAGUUUCUGAUCCUCUGUUGGUAAUGCUGCAAGGUUCUGGUGGCGAUGCCGAAGGUCGUCGAGAGCUUCGUGGACUGGACGGUGUCGUGGCUGCCGAUGUACGGAGAGGUGAAGCUGCUGCUCGUCAUCUACCUUUGGCACCCCAGCACAUGAGUGAGCAGUCGAUCAGACACCCCGAGUCCGAGAGAUGAUCAACAUUUCAGAUAGACUUCAUUCGGUAUUUGUCCAAUUCUGAAGAUGAAUCUUAAUGGUGUUCGGAUUUCAGGGUGUGGGGCACGUGUACGAUGGCUUCCUCCAUUCACUGGUAGCAUGGCACGAGGCCGACAUCGACCAGGGCCUGCUUGAGCUAAGGGCUAGGGCGAGGGACGUGACGAUGUCGCUACUCAAGGCGGCGGCUGUCGUCGGUCAAGUGUGCUCGUUGAGGCUGCCCGUUGUGUUUCGUCGCAGCUGCAGGCCGCGAGAUCAGGCCGGGAAGGCGCCCGCAUUGACGGGUGAGCCAACUUUUGGAUCAGACCAUAACAAAGUGUCUCAGUCUCUGAUGUCUAGAAGUAGUGGUAAAGUUUUGAAUUUGCAUGGCAGGAACCAUGUAACGCCCCGUAUGUAACCUUCCAUAUUUGUAUUCCUACUCUUGCCAUUUCCGGCACUAAGUUAUGAUAUUUGCUUGUUGUUGGGUUUCGUUUUCGUGUUGCUUUUGUCUUUGUCAUGCAUCUCAUAUCAUGUCAUCAUGUGCAUCGCAUUUGCAUACGUAUUCGUCUCAUGCAUCCGAGCAUUUUCCCCGUUGUCCGUUUUGCAUUCCGGCGCUCCUAUGUCCUCCGAUGUCUCAUUUUACCUCUUUUCAUGUGCGGGUGUCAAACGUUCUCGGAUUGGACCGAGACUUGCCAAGCGGCCUUGGUUUACUACCGGUAGACCGCCUGUCAAGUUUCUUGCCAUUUGGACUUCGUUUGAUACUCCAACCGUUAACCGAGGAACCGUAAAGGCCUCAUGUGUGUUGCAGCCCAACACCUCUCCAAAGUGGCCAAAAACCGACCUAAACCCCCUCCAUCAUCUCGGUCGUUCGAUCAUGAUCGCGUGGCCGAAAACCGCACCUCAUUUGGAGUCUCCUAGCUCCCUCUACCUAUAAAUAUGUGCCCUUCCCGUCCAUUUCGCGGUCCAAAACCCUAGAUCCAUCCCCGCCACCGCCGGACACGUCCGCCAACGCCCGCGUCCAAUCAGAAUUCGACACGUGUCCCCCGCUGGCUCUCUCUCCUCCGGCCCGCCGGGCCCAUCACGGACCCGCCCGGCCCGGUCGCCGCCGUCGCUCGCCCAAGGCGAGGCCGCCUCGCCGCGCCGCCCACGCGGUUUCGCCCCGCCGUCCCCGCCGCCAAGUCCGGCCGUCUCCCCGCCGGCGAUCACCACCGACCAUAGCUGUGCCCGCUUCCGGCGCCGCCUCGCGCGCUAUGCUCCAGCCACCGCUCGACCCGCCGCCGCCAAUCGCCCCGAGCGCCACGCCACCACCAGCUCCUCGCCGCCGCGCCUCCUACCUCGCCGCCUUCGGUGACCGGAGUUUGCCGAAAUCGCCCUCCGCCGCCGUCUCCCACGCUUCCGGCCACCUCGCAGUCGCUGGACCCGGCCCGCUCCAGAUCCGGUCCGGGUGGACCAGAUCCACCAGGCCCACGAUCCAAACGCCUCCGCUCGUCCCCGCACGUCUCCGUCCCGGAACCCCGAGAUCCAGUUUUCCCGCGAGGUCGUUUUUCUACUAAGUCCCCAACAUUUUUAGCAUACUUCAUCAUGCCAUAUCUUUGCACACGUGGCUCCGUUUUGGGCGUGUAGCAUAUCAAAUUGUUCGUCUUGAUGUGGACUUCAUUUUAUUCCAUUGCACCAUGUUCAUUUGAGUUCAUCUUGAUGUCCUAAAUGCUGUUGCAAGAGUGCUAUGUGAUAUUAGUUUUAGAUUCUUAACAGAUAUUGGACAUUUGUCAUUUUUGCCAUGUUUAAUGUGUGCCUCCUAUGAAUUUGAGCCCUACAUGUGUUUUGAAGUAUGCCAUGCCAUCUUUACAGGGGUGUAUGCCAUGUAUUUUUGUGAUCAUUGUGGUGACUAGCACAAGCAUGCAAAGUAGCUCUCGUAAUGUUGCUGAUUUCAGGGACUUCGAAUUCUUCCAAGUCUUUUCCCUGAUAAUAUUUUUAUGCCAUAUAUUCUUGUUGCUAGAGAGUGAUCCAUGCCUCUUGAGCAUGUUCAGUAAGGAUUAUUUUGAGAUAUUGUUAUGCUUUAUCCAUCCAUGUCUUUGUUUGCAAUUAUGGAGUUCCCUAGCAUGACUCAAUCUUGCUCUACUUUUGCUAUAAAAUGUUCCUGGCAGAUUGUUUACGUGUUAAUCAAUUUUGCUGAGGUUGUUAUAGUCUAUCCAUGCAUGCUAUGAGAGUGUUCUUGCCAUGGAUAGCUUAUUUAUCAUGUCUACUUGCUGGGUGUAUGCUUAGUUUGUCAUGCAAUGCCUUGUGGUGAGUGCAUCGAGCUCGUAAACAUGCCUACGUAAAUCUGUUUUGCCAUGUUCCAGUUUGCUGCUAAGUCUGAAUCUGUUAACGAAACUUGCUAUGUUCACAUGGUUGCCAUUGUAUUUUUUGAUCCCUUUUGGCUUAUGGUCAGUAAGGUACUUUUGUAUGCUUUGAGUACUUCAUGUCAUGCCUUGCUUUGCCAUGUUAUGUUCCUGUAGCAUUGUUGUUAUCUUGCUCUAAACAUUGCUUCCUGAUGUUAAACCUGCCAUGUUGUUAUUUUCACUAAGUCUGAGAACCUGAUAUCUUUUGCACUUUUUUCAUGCUUGUUUGAACUUGCUAUUGAGUGAACUAGCCGUAGCUCAGUGUUCAUCUUUUGUUAAGCAUCUUGAUUAGAUCACUGCCAUGUACUUUGUUGCUAUGUUAGAGUGCAGUAGCUUGUUGUUCUUGAUGCAUUUAGAUGGUCUCGUGCUGUUAAUCGAAGAUUGGUGCCAUAUUUGUUUUGCUUGUCAUUUGCAAACUGUGGAUCCAUUUCCGGUGAUCUUUAUAUCGAUUUCAACCGAAAUCAACUCUUCUUUCCAGCGGAACUCUUGGUUUGCCAAGUUGAGGCCUGGUUCAAUCAUUCUCUUCCGAAGCAUGCAUAUGCAUUGAAUAUCACAUCCCACAUAUCAUGCCAUGUUUUGCAUCAUGUUGCUUGUGCACUGCAUCGUGGUUGAUUGUGGUUUCCUUUACUUGUGUUCUUGCUUUGGGUAGAGUCGGGAGAUGAGUACGUGAACAAGAAACCCGUUGAGUAUGCUUACGAAGAUCAAGGUUACGCAAAAGCAGAGAACUUUGCAGGCAAGAUGACCAUGCCCUCGAAAUCACUUCUAUCUUUGCUUGCUAGAUGCUCGCUCUAUUGCUAUGCCUAUGCUACGAUACCUACCACUUGCUUAUCAUGCCUCCCAUUUUGCCAUGUCAAACCUCUAACCCACCUUGUCCUAGCAAACCGUUGUUUGGCUAUGUUACCGCUUUGCUCAGCCCCUCUUAUAGCGUUGCUAGUUGCAGGUGAAGAUUGGAGUUUGUUCCUUGUUGGAACAUGUUUAUUGUUAGGAUAUCAUCAUUAUAUUUUUGUUUACUUCAAUGCAUCUAUAUACUUGGUAAAGGGUGGAAGGCUCGGCCUUAUGCCUGGUGUUUUGUUCCACUCUUCCCGCCCUAGUUUCCGUCCUACCGGUGUUAUGUUCCUUGAUUUUGCGUUCCUUACACGGUUGGGUUAUAAUGGGAACCCCUUGACAGUUCGCCUUGAAUAAAACUCCUUCAACAAGGCCCAACCUUGGUUUUACCAUUUGCCACCUAGCCUCUUUUCCCUUGGGUUCCGUGGACUCAAGGGUCAUCUUUAUUUUAAACCCCCGGGCCAGUGCUCCUCGGAGUGUUGGUCCAAACUAGAGCCCUUUGCAGCGCCCCCUCGGGGAAACUCGAUGUUUGGUUUUAAUUGUACGGAGCGCUCAUCCGUUGUGCCCUAAGAACGAGAUAUGUGCAUCCCCAUGACUCAUAGUUUAUUUCCAAAAACCAGAUGCAGGGAUCGAUGAUACCAUUCCAGAAGAUGCGACUGAGCUCAAGUGGGAGUUCGAUGAGGACUCAAAACGUUACUACGUUUCCUUUCCAAACGAUCAGUAGUGGAGCCCAGUUGGGGCGAUCAGGGACAUUAUGCUUUUGGGGUUGUCUUUAUUCUGGUUCCAUAGACGGACCUUGAUUGUAUCUGGAUGAUUGUAAUGAUAUAUUUAUGCUAUUGUGUGACGUGGCGAUUGUAAACCCACUAUGUACCUCUUUCUUAUUCAGUACAUGGGUUGUGUAAAGAUUACCCCUCUUGUGACAUUGCCUUCAAUGCGGUUAUGCCUCUAAGUCGUGCUCCGACACAUGGGAGAUAUAGCCGCAUCGAGGGUGUUACAAACCACUUAUGUAGGUAGCUGACACGCACAACACUGUGUUUACACUCUUACUUAUGUAAAAGAUAUGAAUUAUACAUGAGUUGACUCUACAAUGAGGAACCGUGAUAGUAGAUACGGCAAUUGUGUGAUAUAAUGGAAUUGAUUGAGUUUAUUUUUUUUUUAAUUUCUAAUAAGUUAGUAGUAGGGUUGGAAAAAACUGCUCGCUAUAGUAUUUAGGAUACUAGUAGCGUUGGAAUUGUAGACACGCUACUACUAUUUCGUUAGUAAUAGUGCGGGUACGAAAUAGUAGUAGCGUGGGUGGCAUACGCUACUACUAACGAAGUUAGUUAGUAGUAGCACGGGUUUAACCCACGCUACUAUUAACUAUUAGCUGUAGUGUGAUACUAGGAGCGGGGGUACCCAUGCUGCUAGUAGCCUUUUUCCUAAUAGUGUGACCACACUAUUCGAAACACAAAAGGGGAAUCACAAAACAACACAAGACAAUGAUUUCUUUACCAAAUGGGAGAAAUGCCACUUUCAACGGGCUCCAGAGGGCGUUGUUCCUCGCCGCCAAGAUCCAGGUAAAUGGAGGCCGUGGAAGCAACAAGGCGGUGACAGAUCAGUGGGAGCAUAUGACUCAAAGUGGUGGGGAAAGGGGGGGGCAACCAAAAUUUAGUGGUGUGUCACUAUCGAGCACUGCAGGUGCGCCCACAGUGGAGAAAGGCACGCACCAGAGGGGCAAAAUGGGAAUUAUGGCCCCAAUGGUGGGUCCCCACAUCAACGGACACUCGAAGAGUCUUUUCAUCAAUACUGGUGGGCCCAUGUUGGAGUGGAAAUGGAAAUUAUGGCGCAAUGUUGGGCUCGCACAUCGCCCAGAAAGGGUCAAUCGAGUCUCCUCGUGGGUGCAAUUGAUGUGGUGAAGUGGUGUGUCCAAAAUGGAAGGAAGCAACGCAAAGUUGACGACAAGCGAUGGAGAUGACGUGUAGUGUCAUACACCUAUUUUUUCACAAUCGUUAGUGCCCAGACCCGAAAUAUGGAAGAUGGAGUGGCAGGAUUCGAAUACGCAACUUCGGCAGUGGCACGGACCGAUUGUUCCCGAAAAUAUAAUAUGAAAACUUUUUCAUGAUGGGUUUGAGGAUAUUGAUCGCUAUCGUACAUGUUAAUAUUUCCUUCUUAUAAACUAGAUCAAAGUGUAAUCAACAAAACUAAUAUGCACUCUAUUCUGAAAUGAGGGGAGUAAGCCCUAUCUAUAAGACAACAUGACUGUAGCUAUUGAUGAUUUCUCGAUUUACUAGUAAUGACAUUUCAUAGGAUUUACUCCCUCCAUUCCUAAAUAUAAGUCUUUUUAUAAAUUUCAAUAUAGACUACAUACGGAGCAAAAUGAGUGGAUCUACACUCUAAACUAUGUCUAUAUACAUCCGUAUAUAGUUCAUAUUGAAAUCCCCAAAAUAUACUUAUAUUUAGGGAUGGAGGAACCAUUGCCAUUUAUUUGAAGAGGAUAACCAUUAUCCAAAGAAAAAUGAAACAUGUCAUUUAAUGACAUUAUUGGAUAAGGAUAACCUUGAUGCCACCACAUAUAUAUAAGGCGACUAAACGGUACCCCUCACGACCACAAAAAUAUACUGGUUGACAAAUUAUUGCAUAACUAUAUAUCUUUUGUUGUUCUGUGUUCUUAGGCAUUGGCGGACAAUGGCAUCUUCCAAGUGAUCAUAGUUUUUCUCAUGGCGCAAGCCUGCUUGCUCAUGAUAAUGGCAUCAUCGGUAGCACAUGCAGCUGCUAGACCGGUGGGGUACAAUCCAGUGUGCUGCCCUAGAAACAUCUUUUGUUGCGGGUUCUGUAGCGGAUUGGCCAAUUCACCCGCACCAUCCAUUGUAUCUUGAUGUGUGGCUUUAUUCUCCGCCAACUAGUAAGCUCAACGUAUAAAUGAUAUGUGUGGUUCAUGUGUUACCUAAUCCUAAAUAUUUGUGAUGCUACUUUCAAGAAGUUAUUGUACUAGUUACUUACAUAAUAAAAUGAGAGGAGAUUAUUAUAUAUCUUGUUCGCAAUAUACCGCAAAGAGACUUAAGUUUAUGUUUACUUUAGUCCUUUUGAAAACUAGAUUAUUUUGCCGCAUUGAUUUAAGAGAAAAAAAGAGUGGCCAAGCAUACACGUUGACCCCAUGAGUCUGCAGUGCGUGCCUGUGGGAAUCUCUGUUUUAUCAUUCGGUUGGCCGUACAUUAUGUCAAGAUCGUCCAUGUCUUGGCGACAUGCUCUAUGUUUGCAGAGAACAUAAUGUUGUAAAGCAUUUAUUGGGUAAUGGAGUAUAUCGUCAAUUAGUAGAAACCAACUACCAUUGGCAGGCUUGUCUACGAAUUCACGUAUGUACACUGUUUCGUUUUGCAUGAAUGCCAACAUCAUAUAUUAAAAUGGUCACAUCCCCGACAGCGGUGGAUCCGACCCAGGAUCGAAGCAAGUGCCAAGGACUUGAUUGCUUUUUAGUUUCAUCCUUUGGGUUCCUAUUUGCAAAGUUUCUCACCUAGGCUGUAAUUUCUACUUUCUGUUGGGUCUUUUUGUAAAAUGUUGCAUGCUUAUCUAAUUUAAGUCUGGGUUCUUCCGGAGUCUAGAAAAAUAUAUACAUUAAAUGGUCCAACCCUUACAAUACCAUCCUUCCAAAACCAGAAAAUAAAACACAUACCCUCGUGUAUAUCAACGACGUCUUUCUCCCACACUUGCACCCCAUGGGCAAAGCUCGAUAUCGCAUUUGGAUAUCCAAAAUACUCUCAGAGCCAGGGUAAAUCAUUCUCUGUGUGUGCCCAUAUGUGUAAUCUAUAUGUGUAAUCUAUCUAUCUAUACUAUACCAAUUAAAGAGUUCUCAGAAACUCCAAUGACUAAUCAGAAAUUACGAAUCGUUCAUUUGGUGGGAUCUAGUUUGGCACAUGGUAUGUCCAAGGACCGAAAAAGGGAAGUGAAAUGGACGGAAACUAAAGUGAAGGCAGAGGACCAGUAGACAAAGAGAAGUGAAGGCCCUGUCCUGAUCUACUCACUAAGCUUAGGCGGUUUCAAUAGUAAAUGCAAUUUUUCUUUGUCAGCAGCCGCCUCCAAUAGUUACUGCAAGCGGUUAUGUUGUCCUAACCGCCUCCGGUGUGCAUAUAUACAGGCAACUUCGUUUUAUUUGAUCACAACCACUUGCGGAGGCCGCUUCUAAUGCCCGCUUUCUGUUAGUAGAUGUUGGUUUCGUGCAUCAACCUUUGAUGAUUGUUUUGUUGAUGGUCGCCUUCGAUGAAGUCGGAGUCGCUUGAUCCAGGGUGAUAGGUGAUGAUGAUGACGCCUGUGUGCAGCCAUGGCGGUUGCUCUUUCCGUUUAUGUGUGAAGUCUAUGUUGGUAGCUAGAUCAGCCGCUGGCAUGUGUAUUAUCAUGUUCCAUGACGAUCGUUUUUGGGCUUGUUGUUAUGGUUUUUGCCAAAUUUCUCUAAAUUAACUAAAGAAUUAUAUUUUUAAUUAAUGAAAAUGAUAAAUCUUUUGUCUCGUUUAAUUUUUUUCAAGUCAACUAACUAAUACUUUCUCCGUUCUUAAGUAUUUGUCUUUGUAGAGAUUUCAACAAAUAACUACAUACAAAGCAAAAUGAAUAAAUCUACACUUUAAAAUAUGUCUAUAUAUAUCCUCAUGUGGUAGUCAAUUUAAAAUCUAAAAAAAGCAAAUAUUUAAAAACGGAUGGAGUACUUGUUAAUUUUCCCCCGGAGAUGGACGCGCCAUUUGUUUUUUACCCAACCACUAGCUGAAUUGGCCUGAUUGCCGACGCGGCGAGCCGAGAUGGUAUUCUUAGUUCAACUAUCUAUUCAACAAAUAAAUGGAAGUUCGAUCUAUCAAUAUCUAUGAUCUUGGACCGUCAAUAAUGAAUUUUCUUUAGAAUUUGGACACUUGAUUGACCCAGUUACUUCUAUUAUAUUAUAUCUAGGCCGAAAAUUAGGAGCACCUGCUCAAACAGAAAUGGGGUGCACGCUGACUGACACUGCACUCAUGCACAUGCUCCUACCUAUGUGUUAUCCUACGCAGACGACCUGCCAACCCCGAUGGAUCGAUCAUGCCUCUUAUCAUGUGGAGAGUGUAGUGGAGCGCCCGCCCAUCACGUGCUAUGUUUUCUAUAUGACCAACGACAACAAACCGCCGCCAACUGUGCUCUGCCGCAGCGCCGGUCAUCCCGCCCGCCCGCCGCUCGUCUCAAUACCCUUCCCACCAUAUCAAAUCGCCUUUUUCCCCGCCCGCUGGUUGCGCAGUUUCCUGCAACCUAUAAAUCAAGCCACAGAACCUCAGUCAACUCCAGCGCGGGAUCCCAUCUUGUUCGGCCCUGUUUGUUUGAAGCAAAACAGACAUAGUACACAGCCUAGCGCGCGACAUUGUGAAUCCAUUUGGUCCGUUUUAUUUUCGGGCCGAUCAAUUUCAAGCGCAAACAUGUGUCGAGUUUGCAUCGCGGCGGACAGCAAACGAACACGUCGUUCGUCCGCUCCGAGGCCGCGUGGCAGGCAGUCACCUACCACCCACCGCCCGACCUUAAUGUACACGCGCAGUCGGCCUCAUCUGUCAUCCGCCCAGGCGAACGGUCGUCUUCCUUCUUAAAUGGGAAGCCGUGGACCGGUCGCAGUCCACACUCCCCACUCCAGCCCAUGCUGCCUCCUCGAAACCUGACACUCCCCAAACCCUAGCUCUUCCUCUCCCCAUCCUCGAUCUCGCCGGCCGACCGCCACGCAACCAUGGGAUUCUGGAACACCGGGCGCAAGCGGAAGCACGACUGCGAGGCUGGCUCGUCCUCGGGCCGCCGCCGCCGCGGCGUGAAAGAGGAGCAUGCGUCACCACCGCAGAGGGAACCCCGCGCUGCCCGCAUUCUGUAUCGCCCCCACGGCCGCCGGCGAGCGCUACCGGCACUACAUCCACGCGGAUGUAUGCCGUCGAUAUUGGGAGAAGAGGACGCCGCUCCCCUGGAGCGACGUGCACCUCCCCAAUAACUGGCAUCUCUCCGCCGAUCCGGUGCCGAUCCUGCCGGUCCCUACGAGCGGCCAUGCACGCCGUGAGGAGAUCGAGUGACGCCGCCUCCUGCCAGACGACCUGUACUACGACCCUAGGUACACCGUCGACUCCAACCUUUGGGACACUUGGUUCCGUGACGAGCACGACAUGCGGCGCGCCUCCUUCGUCGGCACGUCGUCUGGGCCGCGACAGCCACGUGAGCGCCGCGCGCGUGCUCCAGCCCUCCCCAAGUUCGCGGGCGUAGGGUGGUGUGCGGCAUCACGCCGACGCCGUCGCCAUCGCCCUCCUUGUCGCCACCACCUCCUCAUCGCAUGACAGAGGAGAAGGAUGUUCGGCUCCUUCAACGUGUCAUGGAAGACUCCAUGAACAUGUACGACGAGCGCCAAUGGGUGGGCCUAGAGACCGUGAUGACCCUCUCUACUCCCGGUGACGUGGCUGUGCCGGAGCUAGAGAUGGUGAGGAUCGAGGAGGUGUUGGAGAACAAGCCCGUCGCCGCGUUCCACCCGGGCCUGGUGGGCCAGCGGUGGAGCUGGUCGUGCAUGGUUCAGGAGAUGGCCGACGCCGCGGGGGCGUGAGUGAAAUGGUGCUCCACGCCACCGCGAUCACCGGAGCAGGAGGCGUCGCCACAAAAGGAGGUGGUGCAGGCUCGGAAGGAGCGGGAGGCAUCACCACGGCAUCGACGGGCACGGCAGGAGCGCGCGGGCGGCGAAUUUCUUUUAUUUGUUUUAUGUUAAUUAUGUCUAUGUGGACUGUGGAACUAGGCCGUUUUGUGGCCGUAAUGUUUAAUUAUGUUGUUUGUUUUUAUGUUUGCAUUUAUUUUAUUUGUUUCGGUAUUUUGUUUUAGUUUUUACAUUUUUUUAAUCACGUCCACCUCGGACAUGAUUCGGGGUGCGGCUGCGCGUUGGGCGCACUGACAACCCAACGGCCCCAAGCGGACAUCAAUGUUUUAAAUAACGGGCUAUGAAAAAUAGAGGCGGGCCUACAAAUCAGCUAUAGCGGGCUAAAGCGGGCUAUUUGUGAAGGUGAUCAUUUAGCGGCACCUUGCUGCUGACUAUUUAAAACUAUGGCGGACAUGAACGUCUCCAUUGCCGCCCCAAACAGACGAAAACAGACCAAAUCAGACGUCCGUUUGGGGUCGUGGGAUGGAGUUGGCCUCAGCUGUUCAUCCAUCUCAUCUCACUCAGACUACUACUGAUCUACAGCUACGUGUACUUGAGUUCACUACCUACUAGUUCACUUCCUUCGGCACCAAGCUCUCUCCGGCAAAGAUGUUUACGGUGACCCGCGCCUACCUCGACCAAAGGCUCGUCGCCGCCAAGCACUGCUCCAAAGGUAAUCAACGGCGGCCUGCUCCUACGGCCAACGCACUCUUGCCAUUUUUUUGCUGCUUUCUCUCUGUGCCGACACAUGACUUGAUCCUGUGACAUCGGGCUUACCAUUUAACUCAAACUGCAGAGGAUGCCAUGGCCGGAGCCAAGGUAGCAACUGUCACCACCGUCGCUGUCGCAGUCCCCACCGUGAGUCCAUUAGAAGCAACCACUCACUGACUCGCCCUACAUUUUUGAGAAUACCAUCUGAUGUCGUCCGUGCAAUUUCUCUGCAGCUGGCGAGCGUGAGGAUGCUGUCGUGGGCGAGGGCGCACCUCAUCCCGAACGGGCAGGGGCUCAUCAUCUCCACCGUCACCGGGAUGGCCUACUUCAUCAUCGCCAACAAGACCAUCCUCUCAAUGGCCAGGAAGCACUCCUUCGAGGACGCGCCGGACGAUUUUUUGUCAAAAGAGACCACCUGCCGAAUCGAAAUGACAAAAAAGACCAUCUCUGAAUUAGAUUGACAAAAGAGACCCUCUCGGUCGUGGCGGCAGGCGCGCCAGGCGACACGUGGCACCUACCGCCACGCCGUGAGGCGGCCGGCCCCGCCGCCACGCUGCUAGACGGCAGCCUGUGCAUUACAGUUUUUUAGCCCCUCGCCACACAGGACGGAACGGAGCAUGGGUAUGGUGGACCCUGCCGCCACCGUAUGAGGCGGCCGGAACUGUAGUUGCUGCCACCAUUGCAUGCACGGGUUGGGUCACUGAGUGGCAUCAUUUCAUGCACGGUUUUGACUAGAUGCAUUUCCGGUGCUAGCUAAGAUCAUCUCUAGUGAUUAGGCUGAUUGGACGACCAAAAAGCUGCUAUGUCCGGUUCAAGUAAAUGCGCUCCAGUGUGUGGUACACAUAAUACAGUGCCACCAGCUACAGUGCCAGCCGCCUCACACGGUGGCGGCAGGGCCCACCCGUCCCGCGUGCGGCAGUAGCAGUGUGUCGGCCCGAGCGCAGCAGGUACAGUGGCGGCCGCCUCAAAUGGUGGCGGCGUGGCCCACCAGACCAGUCACCGUUCCGUUGCCGCCUGGAAUCCUGUCGCCAGCGACUCGCCGCCUGGCAGCGUGGCGGCGGGGUCGGCCGCCUCACGGCGUGGCGGCAGGUGCCACGUGUCGCCUGGCGCGCCUGCCGCCACGACCGAGGGGGUCUCUUUUGUCAAUCUAAUUCAGAGAUGGUCUUUUUUGUCAUUUCGAUUCGGCAGGCGGUCUCUUUUGACAAAAAAUCGCGCCGGACCACCUCAAGAACACCCUCUUCCACUGUUUACGCUAUAAUGGAUCCAUUAGUAGUGUGUAAUAAACUAUACCGUGGCCCAUACGGCCGCACCUGUCUGCUGAAUGAUACAAUAAUAUAAUGUUCAGCGAGAGAGGCGAGGCGAUGCAGAUCAGGCCUUGCGCUUCUAUCGGUGCGAGCACUUAUCUGAUGAAGUUACCAUGUAAUCCAGCCAGUAUUCUUGAAUAAAUGGAUUCUACUAGUAUUUGUACAACUCUGGUUCAUCUGCAAUCACUACUAAUCUUACAUGUGCCAGAGCAUGCAAAAAAGAAGGGCACCUCCAACGCCAGCCCCUAAAAGAAUACUAGUAUUUGUACAACUCUGGUGCAUCUGCCAUCACUCAUCUUACAUGUGCCAAAGCAUACAAAAAAGACCAAACUAAGGGCAUCUACAACGCCAGCCCCUAAAACAGAUACGAUAUCCGUUUACGAGCAGGCCAUCCAAUGAUCAAACUCCAGAAACAUCUCAGAUACUCCCUCCGUCCUAUAAUAUAAGAGCAUUUUUGACACUAGUAUAGUGUAAAAAACGCUCUUAUAUUAUGGGACGGAGGGAGUAGAAUUUAAACAAAUUAGGUAAAGUUCAUACAAACCAAAUAAUUUUCAUUCAAACCGGAUCAAAAUAAUUACAUUUUAGAUAUGUUUCAAUUAAACGAAAGCGGACGACACCUUUUUAUCCCAGUCUAAAUAUUUGUCGAUCAUGGAGCGUUCGUGUUUUGCAUCUGUCUUCCCCAUGUCCAGCUAGUUCAAUGGCCACGAGCUCUGUGAAGUGAAGUUACGGGAGGGGAAGAAUAUGACAUGGGACACGGCUCACAUGGGACACGAGACUUGUCCAUGUCGGUGUCCCAACUCCUACUCUUCCCGGCCAGAGUCUGUCAUGUGGACGUCGCCGGAUGUGGAUGGGUCGGCCUCGUGGUCGUUGCGGCUUGGCACAAACCAUGCUAGCGGCGCGACCAACAUGAGACUGACGACAUCCGUGAUCCUUGUGCCUCCUCUUCUUGUUGAACCCAAGAACACCGACGAGGCCUAGAUCGCUAUCGCAAGGAGAACAAGAGGUAGACGAAGACACACACAAGGUUUUGUGCUGCGCACGGUUCUGCAGCUUUUCUCAUUAAUUUUCAGAAUAUGUGUACAUCAACUAAGGAACGGGAAAACCUCCACGCUGCCGAGCCUACCGGACGUGUCAUCCCAUGUCGCCCGUCGUGCACGAGGUGAGUGCGAGUCGAGUCCUACGUUGCAUGCCAUCCCAUGCGCUCACAACAGCCGCACUAAUCUAGCUAGCUACUAACUGAAAAUAAAGACAGUUUCUGCGUGUACAUGCACACGAGACAGAGCCGGUUAUUGAGCUAACUGAAAAACAAACUAUCCUAACGGGCAAAGGAUUACAAGCUCAACAAUUCACCCCCUAAUCCUUGUGCCCAGAGAUCACCUUAACGACGCCGAGCUUCUGUCGCAGCUCAAUGAACUUGAUUCUGCCCAGCGCCUUGGUGAGAACAUCGGCAAGCUGUCCAUCAGUGCCAACAUGGUCAACAUCCACCUUGCCAUCUUCAAUGCAUUCACCAAUGAAAUGAUAUCGUAUGCCAAUGUGCUUACUUCUUUCGUGAUGCACUGGGUUCUUGCUGAGCUCGAUCGCCGACUUGUUGUCGACGCGCAGCUUCGCCAUUGUUUGGCGCGUCGCCGGUGAGCUCGCCAAGGAGCCUGCACAGCCACACACCUUGGCAUGCCGCGGAUGCCGCCGCCAUGUACUCAGCCUCACAUGACGAGAUGGCGACGACCUUCUGCUUCUGAGAUAUCCAGGUGAUCACGCUGGAGUUGAGGAAGAACACCACUCCAGUCGUGCUCCGCCGAUCAUCCCCAUUGUCGGUGUGAUCGCUGUCGCUGUAGCCAAUCACCUCCGGCGCUGAAAUUCCUCCCCGCUUGUAGCAGCAACCAUACUCCAAAGUUCCACUAACAUAGCGGAGGAUUUGCUUCACUACAGCCCAAUGCAAUUCUGCUGGCGCCUCCAGAUACCUACUGACGAUGCCGACGGCGUAGGUGAUGUUGGGUCGAGUGUUGCAGAGGUAUCGUAGGCUGCCGACGACGCUUCUGUACCGUGGGGCAUCCACGGCGUCGCCUGCGCCUGUCUUGGACAGCUGGAGACGGUUUUGCAUCGGAGUGUCACUAGCGUUGCACCCCCUCAUCCCAGCAGCUUCGAGGAUCUUCAUGGCGUAGGCACUCUGACAGAGAGUGAUCUGUCCGUCCUUCUGAUGUACCUCGAUCCCAAGGUAAUAGCUCGGGAGACCGAGAUCGCUCAUGUCAAACACUCUGCGCAUCUGCUCCUUGAACGCCUUGAUGUCGUCGAUGCUGCCACCGGUGAUGAUAAGAUCGGUCGCAGCAUCGGGGCACCACGCCGACCAGCAGUGUCGCCGCACCGGUGCUCCUCCUGUACACCGCAUGCUCGAGGGGGCUGCGCUCAAACCCGAGCGAUGCAAGCGACGCAUCGAGCUUGGCAUACCACGCUCGGGGCGCCUGUUUUAGACCGUACAUGGCCUUCCGAAGAUGCAGUACCUUUCCCUCCUCGCCGGCGAUGACGAAACCCGGUGGCUGGUGCACGUAGACCUCCUCGAUCAGAUCGCCGUUCAAGAACGCCGACUUGACGUCCAUGUGAUGGACUUGCCAUCCUUGCCAUGCCGCCAACGCCAGCAGUAGCCGCACUGUUUCCAUGCGAGCCACCGGCGCGAACACCUCGUCAUAGUCCACGCCUUGCCGCUGCGAGUAGCCCUUCACCACCAAGCGUGCCUUGUGCUUCACAAUCUUGCCGGCGGGAUCCCUCUUGACCUUGAACACCCAUUUGAGCCCUAUCGCUCGGUGCCCAGGCGGGAGCGCGGCAAGCUCCCAGGUCUUGUUCUCGCGGAUCACGACCAGCUCGGCGUCCAUGGCACGCAUCCAGCACGCCUCCUCCAAGGCUUCAUCGACCCCAGAGGGCUCUUCAGCAGCGAUGAGGCAGAGCCCAACUUGGUCUUCUCUCGCCGCUUCCACCUCAACCAGUACAUCCGUCAUCUUGCGGUAGCGUGUUGGCGCAUGGUCGAGGUCAUGCCGCUCCCAGUCGUCACUGGGCGGCGUAGCCCAACCUCGUCAUCAGGGGCUGGAGAGUGCGCUGGUGUUGUUGGUGUGGCCGAACAACCCCUCGAUGCGGAAGAGCUCGAUGAAGAGGAUGCCGUGGACGACCCGUCUGAGCUCGACGAGGCAGACUGCAUGUCGACGCUCUGUUCGUCGAUGUAGACGACCACAAAGUGUUCGUCGAUGGGGGUCGCCGUAGCACCUGGGGCCGGCGUCCAGUCCCACUUCCUCCGUUCUUCAAAAACGACGUCGCGUGACGUGCACCUUGUUCGUGGCCGGAUCAAACACCCUGUACGCCUUAGCUCCUUCUGCGUACCCAAUGAAAAUCAUCGGCGUCGAGCGAUCGGCCAGUUUAUUGAUGCCGGGGCCGAUCCGCUUGACGUGUGCGGUGCACCCGAAAGUGCGCAGGUGAUGGACCGUCGGCUUCUUCUUGUGCCACGCUUCGUACGGCGUCUACCCGUCGAUGCUGCGCGUGGGGGAUCGAUUGAGUAGGUACACCGUGGUCUUGACCACGUCGCCCAAGAACAUGACGCGCACGGCCAUGCUCUUGAGCAGACACCGCGCCAUCUCAACCACGGUCUGGUUGCACCUCUCGACCACGCCGUUUUGCUGCGGCGUGUAUGGCGCGGUGGUGCAGUGCUUGAUCCCUCCAUCCUCGCAGUACAGACGAAAAUCAGUGGAAUUGAACUCACCGCCCCGAUCGGAGCGGAACGCCAUGAGCCGGCGUCCAGAUUCGGCCUCUGCAAGAGCCUUGAUCUUCUUGAAGCGUUGAAAUGUCUCGUCUUUUAAUUUGAUCACCUCCAGCCACAUGUAUCGUGAGUGAUCAUCGACAACCAGCAGGAAAAAAUGAUUACCUCCGGUCGUUGCCGGCUUGAUCGGCCCACAGAGGUCCGGGUGGACGAGCUCGAGCGCGUGAUCUGCGCGGUACGGCGAGGCCUGCGGGAACGGGAGCUGGUGCUGCUUGCCCAGGGCGCAUCCUUCAUAGUACUGUUUGACGCGGUCGACAAGGGGCACGCCAUUCGCCAUCUCUAGGCGCGCGAGAUCGCGCAGCGCCCUGAAGUUCAGGUGGCCAUAGCGCGAAUGCCACAGCCACGCCGUGUCGUCACCACUCGCCAGCAGGCACACCGGCUUGGUUAGCGCCAGGGGAAGUACGUAGAGGUUCCCCGCGUUGCGUGCCACGCGGGUGAGCAGCCGCCCGUCCGGAUUGCGGAGGCGAAGGACCCCGCCGUGGAUCACCAUCUCGCAGCCGAGCUCAUCCAUCUGACCGAUGCUCAAGAUGUUGCUGCACAAAUGGGGUAUGUAGUAUACCUCAGCGAGCGUCAGAUGCUCACCGCUGCGGCACUCGAAGUGGAUCGUCCCUCUCCCCUCGAACUGCACACUGGACCCGUCACCGAGCUUCACGGUCCCCCUCGCUCCCACGUCGAGCUCGGAGAAGAUCUCGCGGCGACCGGACAUGUGGUUGCUUGCCCCGGUGUCCAGGUACCAGGAGGUGUCGCAGGUGCCACCCUCCUGGGCAGCGCGCGCCUGGGUGCGUUCCUCGUUGAGAAGAACCCGCUCGACCGGGCGCUCGGUGGUGACAGUGAGCGCGGUGACCGUGGCGAGCAGAAGUGCCGCCUCGUCGUCCUGGUUGCCCGCGACCGCAAGGUUCGCCUGAUCCUUGCGUUCACGACGCGGCUCGGUGCAGUGCUUCCAGAAAUGCCCAGGUUUGUUGCAGUUGUAGCACUUCACCUGAGACAUGUCGUGUUCCCCGUUCGGCGCGCCGUCGCGGCCGCCGUUUCCGCCGCCGCCCUGACCGGCGCCCCGACGAUUCGAGCCGCCGCCUUGUCCACCGGACCCGCCUGGCCCGCCGGAGCCACCGUGGCCGCCGUUAUGGCUGCCGCCCUGGCUUUGGACGUGCUGGUUCUUGCGCGCGUUCCACUACGCCUCCGUCAUCAGCAGCUGGGGCCCGCCGCCUCCACCUUGAUCGUUGGUGAGAUAGCGCUCCUUCACGGAGCGCAGACGGCCGACGAGCUCCUCAACUGAGAGCGUGUUGAGGUCGAGCAUCGUCUCGAUGGCGAGGGCGAUCUGCAUGUAGCGAGGCGGGACGACGCGUAGGAACUUCUGAACCACUCUCACCUCGUCCAUGGUGUCGCCGAGCGAGCGUAGAUUGUUGACGAGCGAGGUGAUCCGCAUGCCGAACGCGUCGAGUGUCCCGCCGUCGCGCAACGUGAUCCCCUCGAACUCGGAGCGCAGCCGUUGCGUCGUGGCCUCGUGCACGCGCGCGACUCCCAUCCGCAUGGUCUUGAUCGUAUCCCAUGUCCCCUUCGCGGUCUUCUUCACCACGAUCGUGCCCACCAUCUCCGGCGGAAUGGAUCGCAAGAUGGCCGCCAGCGCCGACUUGUCGUUGGGGACGCUCGGCGGCUUUCCUUCCACCGCGUCCCACAUCAAGUUUGCCUCCAUGUUGAUCUGCAUCAGCAUAGACCACUCGAAGUAGUUUGUCGACGUGAGCAUCGGCCACACCGUGGUGCCGCUCGGGACGAGACGCUCCUGGACCGUGCGCUCGUGGACGACGACCUCCUUGCCGUACCGGCGGGUGCGGCUACGACCGCGGCUAUGGCCGUGAUCGGGCGUUGGCGAGCGCGCGUCACCACUGCCGCUGCCGUCGCCCUGGUGGGCUGCGGUGCGCUCCGCUGUCGAAUUCGCCGGAGAGGUCGUGCCGGCCAUGGUCACCGAGGAACAACGCAGCUCUGAUACCACUUGUUGGACCCAAGAACACCGACGAGGCCUAGAUCGCUAUCGCGAGGAGAACAAGAGGUAGACGAAGACACACACAAGGUUUUGUACUGCGCACAGUUCUGCAACUAAGGAACGGGAAAACCUCCACGCUGCCGAGCCUACCGGACGUGCCAUCCCACGUCGCCUGUCGUGCGCGAGGUGAGUGCGGGCCGAGUCCUACGCUGCAUGCCAUCCCAUGUGCUCACAACGGCCGCACUAAUCUAGCUAGCUACUAACUGAAAACAAAGACAGCUUCUACGUGUACAUACACAUGAGACAGAGCCAGUUAUUGAGCUAACUGAAAAACAAACUAUUCUAACGGGCAAAGGAUUACAAUCUCAACACUUCUUCCACCUCCGCGAGCACGGUGUCCGUCUCCGCCUGCAGGACGCAUAGCUGCCAUCACUCGCGAAGGAUGUCAUGGGCAGGGGCCAAUGACCAUGAGGCCGGUCAUUUCGACACGGAGGCUGUCUGCAUCUCCUCCAACGAGUAGAACUAGGAUAGUAUGUGGCUUAAUUUUACGUUGCAUGAUGUAGUAUGAAAAGAAAUAGAUGGUGAAACUUGAGGUUUGUGGUUGCAGCAGCAGACAAAUAAAGGGUGACUAUGCCCUGUUCACGGAUGUGCGCGGAUGUGUCCGCGAACAUAUCAGGGGUCACUUUUAAAAUGUGUGAUUGUAGAUGUUGUAACAUUUUUUUGGCAAAAAUAAUUCAGAUCUAUUAUCAAAGUUCAUCAAAGAAAGAGUUCCUUAUUUGACACUAUCUUAAAUGUUGUUUCCCUAUUUGACACCGAAAACUUUUUCUUUCCUAUCUAACAUCGACUUUAAUUUUUUUGCCCUUUAUGACACUUUCAUCCGUUUUGAGCCUGAACGGUGUUAAAUGUCACUUGAAAAGACCAUUUUACCCCUUAUGUGGUAUGUGAGCAAAGUUUGUGCAUGGAGCUUGUGUGGCGGCGGCUCGCACAUUCGGUGUGCUGGCAGGGCGCGUAUCUUGUGCAGCUCGCGCGCGUGGUGUGCAGCCGGUGACAGACAACCAACGGGUGGGACAACGAGGCGUGUGGGGCCAAAGAUGUUAGAGGCACGGAACGGCUGGGAGAAAAACGUUUGGCAACCGAGAGGGCGCGCGAUGGCCAGCAGAGUCACCGGCUUGCGUCCGACUUGUGGUCCGCGGUCGGAGAAACCGGCUCAUCCGGGCCGGUUGGAUGCAUAUGCAUGCUCUACACAAAGGCCAACAGGGCCAUGGUGCGGCACGGUAGAAGGGCAUGGCGGGCAUCCUUGGUCGCAUGUCCUGCAUCCCAGCGCGGCAACCUGAGCCUGCGUCAUGCACGUCCUCGCGACAAUAGCAAGGCAGCACUUGUACACGCCGUACACAAGAGCUAACAAUAUGUGAUCACUUGAUUGAUUUUCUUUUAAAGUUGACUCACGCACCUAGCAACCGAACCGGAUGGGAUAAACACAAGCAGCUAGUCAGCUACGUAGCAUAUAUACAACAAACAAGCUGGCUGGACAUGUCUUAUUUUCCAUUAUUAGCAUCUAUUAAAUUUUUGGUCACAUACUAUAUGAGGGGCAAGGAGGUCUUUUCAUGUGCCGUUUAACACCGUUAAGGCUUAAAAUGGACGAAAGUGUUAUAAAGGGCACAAAAUUUAGACUCGAUGUUAUAUAGGGAAGAAAAUAUUUUUCAGUGUCAAAUAGGAAAAGAAAAUUUAAGACAGUGUUAAAUAAGGAAUUCUCUCUUCAUCAAAAGUACAAAAUAUCUCAAACAAAAUAAAAAUUAUAUCGAGAUUCCAAGACCACCUAGCAACCACUACUGCCGCUAGAAUGAGCCGUCGACGCGUCGCUGUCGCUGCUCCCCUAUUGGAGCCGGCCUGAUCUUGUCGAUCACAUUCAGGAAUCCUUCAUGCACGUGACCCUAAGGACCAGCGUCAUUGUGCCGCAGUCGUCGUUGUCGAACCCUUGCAUAGAUCUGAAGUACCUAAGACCAAAUCUCACCACAUAACAAGAAACCCUNNNNNNNNNNNNNNNNNNNNNNNNNNNNNNNNNNNNNNNNNNNNNNNNNNNNNNNNNNNNNNNNNNNNNNNNNNNNNNNNNNNNNNNNNNNNNNNNNNNNNNNNNNNNNNNNNNNNNNNNNNNNNNNNNNNNNNNNNNNNNNNNNNNNNNNNNNNNNNNNNNNNNNNNNNNNNNNNNNNNNNNNNNNNNNNNNNNNNNNNNNNNNNNNNNNNNNNNNNNNNNNNNNNNNNNNNNNNNNNNNNNNNNNNNNNNNNNNNNNNNNNNNNNNNNNNNNNNNNNNNNAGAGCUCCAUCGACCACGUCCGGACGAACCAACAAACUCGAUGAGGAUCAGAGACCGGAAGACAAACUCGAAGAAGUAGUGUCGCCAUCCGCCCGAGCGCCGCACCUGCGAGGACAAAAAGCCCCUAACCUAAACUACUAACCGAAGUGGUGGCACUGUGAUUCCCCUCCAGCCACCGGUUGCCGGAGCGGCAGGAGAGGGGAGGAAAAUCCACGAGAUCGUCGAUGAAAUCUGGUGGGGAGAGUUUGCUCUAACCGUCUAGAGAUAGGGAGCAAAAUGAAAUUAAGUUUUGGUGAGCUUUCAACAGAAUUGAAUCUUGAUGCUCUUUUGUGUGGAAAAGGCGGAUCACUUUCCCGGCACUUCAUCUUCACGGUACACACAUCCACAUUUACAUAUUAGUAUAAACAAUUGUGAGUAAAAUUAGUAAAUUUGAUUACAAAUAAAUCAGGUGAGGGACAAAAAAGAGCCACACCCGGUGUUGGCGAACGCGCCUACACAAAAAGCAUAAUAGUCGAUUAUCUAAACUACGUAACUUCUUAUGUUUUUCUUUAAGCAGAGGCAAAAGAUUUGCCUAAUCUACCAGGUAAAAGAAGAAUGACUAUAUAAAGAAAGUAAGAGGAGAAUAGAGUGUGUGUUACAAGCCCCAAAUUACAGCAAGAUUACUCCUCCGUUAUUACAAGCUCCAAAUCUACGCGACUUUCUAUGUGAUUACACCCUUACAAGAAGGGUUGGACGCACUUUGCUGUGCCGUUAGUGUUAUUUGGUUUCGUAAAAAAAUUACUCACUCUAUUUCAAAUUAUAAGGUGUGUUACUUUUUUAAAAAGUCAAACCUUUUAAGUUUGAUCAAAUUUAUAAAGAAAUGUAUCAAAAUCCAUAAUAUCAAAUCAGUAUGAUUAGAUUCAUCAUGGAAUGAAUUUUCAUACUUUUUUUGUUUAAUAUUAUGGAUAUCGAUAUUUUUUUGCUCUGAACUUGGUCGAAGUUAAAGAAAUUGAUGGAAUAUUUAAUUUGGCGGGUGGGAAAGAUGAUGCAGUGUGUUUUACUUUUAUUUAAAAUGUGUGAGUUGAUAGGCUUUUCGUGGUGUGGUUCUUUGUUAUCCGUUAACUAUCAUAUAUUUAUGUGGGAAAAUUGUUCUGUCGGUGGUUUUAUGUCCUAUAUUGGUGUUAUAAUAUCACAUGGUGGCUCUCCUUUUAUUGUAGGUGGUUGGAGGGUGCGCAAGAUUGAUAUGUUUUUAUAGGCCGGUUGCUGCUGAUUGAUUUGAGAAAUUGUUGGCCUGAUCAUACUCGUAAACCAAAUCCAUAAUUAAAUACCUUAAUCAAAGAAAAGAGCAUUAGAACUAGGGAGCAUAGGGAAUUAAAAUAAUUUAAUGGGAGUGCUACUUGAGAAAUUGUCAACCCAGUCAAAAUGGGAUGACCCAAUUUUAAAUUGAAGACCUCAAUUAAUUGUGACGCCUUAAAAGUUAGAAAGCGUAAUGUAUAAUAUUAAAUAAUUGAAUGAAGGAGUUUUGAGAAAUUGUUGGCCUGAUCAAAAUCGGGUGAUCUAAUUUCAAUUGGUGACCUCAAUUAAAUGUGGGCUCUUUAAAACUAGGGAGCAUAGUGUAAUAACUAGAAGAAUUGGGCGCGCUUUGCUACGCCUUUGUUAUCGUUAAGUUUAUUCAAUAAAUAAUCACUCUGUUUCAAAAUAUAUGGUGUAUUGCUUUUUUUCAAAAGUCAAACCUUUUAAGUUCAAUAAAAUUUGUAGACAAAUAUAUCAAAAUCCAUAAUAUCAAAUCAGUGUUUGUAAAUUCAUCAUGAAAUGAGUUUCCACACUUUUGUGUUUAAUAUUAUGGAUGUCGAUAUUUUUGCUCUGAACCUGGUCAAAGUUGAAGAAAUUUGACUUUCUACAAAACUAAUACCCCUUAUAUUUUGGAACUGAUGAAAUAUUUAGAUUGGCGGGUGGUGGAGAUAAUAGAGUGUGUUUAUUUUUUAUUCUUAAUACGUUGAUUUGGUUGGUCUUUCGUGGUGUGAUUCUGAGUUGUCCGUUAACCAAUCUAUAUUUAUGUGGAGAAAUUUCAGUGUCGGCGGUCGCAUGUACUACUAUAUUAGUGGUACAAUAUCACAUGUGGCGCCUGUUUUUUCAGGUGGUGGGAUGGUGUGCGGGACUCAUAUGUUUUUAUUAUAGGCCAGUUGUUGCUGAUUGAUUUGAAAAAUCGUUGGCCCAGUCAAAAUAGUAAACCAAAUUCAAAGAGGAAUACCUCAAUUGAACGAAAGAGUUUCAAAAUUAGGAAAUAUAAUGAAUUAAAAAUUUAAUGAGAGAGGUUGAGAAAGUGUUGACCUGGUCAAAAUCGUUUGACCUAAUUAUAAAUUGAAUAAUUCAAUUAUUGUGGGGCCUUAAAAAUUAGGAAGCAUAAUGUAUAGUAUAAAAGAAUUGAAUGAAAGAGUUUUAAAAAAUUGUUGACUCAAUUCUAAUUGAAGACCUCAAUUGACUAUGGACUCUUUAAAACUAGGGAGCUUAGUGUUAUAGAGGAUACAUCAUAAAAGGUUUUAGCAAUGUAAAAAAAGAUUUUAGUAUAUUUUUUGACCAGGUGAUCAAAUUUAUUUCCUUUCCUGCAAGAAAAACUAUUUCCCCACAAAAAAGGGUGGUCAGCUUUAUCUAAGCGCUUAUACAUAUACAUCCUCUCUAUCAAAGUAUAAGAUGUUUUCACAAAAAAUAAAAUAAAAUAAUAAACUGCAAAAAGGUAUUAUAUUUUGAUAUAAAGGUAGUGUAACGUUCAGAGAUGCGCAGCAGCUAGCACCAUGCUGGGCCCGACCUGGCCAAACAAAGGAUGAGGCGCUCGCGGAAUUGGAUAGCCGACGGGUUGGCCGUAAACCGGGAGCGCCCACACCACAGCCAUCGCCAACAAAACGGAGUGCACGGUGACAGACACUGCACUCAAGCACAUGCUCCUACGUCUACGUGUUAUCCUACGCAGGAACACGCUCCCCGCCAACCCCGAUGGAUCGAUGAUCCAUGCCUCCUCUUAUCCGCUGCAGGGACCUGUGCUCUGCCGCACCCGCACCGACCGCCGGUACCAAAACCAAACCACGGUAUUGCUUGCUUCCCACCGUAUCAGGUCGUCUUCCUGCCCGGCCGCACGCUGGUUGCGCGGUUUCCUGCAACCUAUAAAUCCGGCCGGAUCACCUUGCUCUGCCCAUCUCAUCUCACUCACAUCCACGCUCCACUUAUACACUAGCUACUUCGCUUCCUUCGGAUCUCGUGUCACCAAUAUCUCCGGCGAAGAUGUCGACGGUGACCCGUGCCUACCUCGACCAGAGGCUCGCCGCCGCCAAGCGCUGCUCCAAAGGUAACGGUUCCGGCCUUAGGCCAGGACAGCUCUGCUCGUAUAUCCCAUUCAUUGCAGCUUUAUGUGUCUGCUGAAACUUAGAACGAACAAUGAAUGCCUUUUCGGGAAAGAAAAGGGCCACAUAUUUUUUUUAGGAUCUUCGAUUAACAUUCCUGCGUUGAUCUGAAACUGCAGAGGCUGCUAUGGCGGGAGUCAAGGCCGCGGCGGUCGCCACCGUCGCUGCCGCAGUGCCCACCGUAAGUAGCCAGCUAGCCAUUCAGUUCCAGAGUUCAUAGCACAGCUCAUGAAUCAAUGCGUUACAUGUCAUUUCAGCUGGCGAGCGUGAGGAUGCUGCCGUGGGUGAGGGCGCACCUGAACCCCACAGGACAGGCGCUCAUCAUCUCCACGGUCGCCGGGAUGGCCUACUUCAUCGUCGCCGACAAGACCAUCCUCUCCAUGGCCAGGAAGCACUCGCACGAGAUGGCGCCAGAGCACCUGAAGAACACCUCCUUCCACUAAUUAGCCUAUAGUAGAUCCAUUAUUAGUAUAGUGUGUAAUAAACCGUGUCUGCUGAAGCCUGAAAGAUGGUAUAAUGUUGAGCGAGAGGGGCGAUCAGGCGAGGUGAUGGUAUAAUUAACUGAUGAUGUAUGUAAUAAUGUGGUCAUGUUCUCCAUCUUGUCAUCUUUCCAGGGAUCGUGAAUUAAUAACCAGCUCUUGUACAACUUUGCUUCAAGUACACUCACUCA
rnacentral:lncRNA from 1 species